CAUGCAGGGAUGUCGUCUUGCAACAACCCAACAUAGCACAUGCAAGCUCACAAGUAUUGCAACAAAGUUACCAACUGUUGCAACAAUUAUGUUGUCAGCAACUGUGGCAGACCCCCGAGCAGUCACGGUGCCAAGCCAUCCACAAUGUCAUUCAUGCUAUUAUUUUGCAUCAACAACAACAACAACAACAACAACAACAACAACAACAACAACAACAACAACAACAACAACAACAACAACCGUCGAGCCAGGUCUCCUACCAGCAGCCUCAGCAACAAUAUCCAUCAGGCCAGGGCUCCUUCCAGCCAUCUCAGCAAAACCCACAGGCCCAGGGCUUUGUCCAACCUCAGCAACUGCCGCAGUUCGAGGAAAUAAGGAACCUAGCGCUACAGACGCUACCAGCAAUGUGCAAUGUCUACAUCCCUUCAUAUUGCUCGACCACCAUUGCGCCAUUUGGCAUCAUGAGUACUAACUGAGAAGAGAAGAACUCUAUUACUAGAUAUAUGAAACACCGUUUUCUUAAAACAUGGUUUGGUCGUUGUAGCGGUGAAAAAUAAAGUGACAUGCACUAUCAUGUAAGAACCCGAACUAGACUAUUUCAAACUUGGAAAUAAAAGACAAACACAGGUCUUGUCUACAUAUGAUUGUUUGUUUGAGUUCCAUUCAUGUACCCGUUCACAAGUUCACCCCUAAUUAUAUAUAUUAAGCAUUAGUUAGAUGUUUAUGUGCAUUAAUCUAAGGAUAACAAAAUGAAUCUGAAACUUGAAUUUAAUUAAAGUAUUUUCUUGGACUUUCAAAUUGAGCAUUGAUAGUGAGGACUAUCCACAUCCUUGGCUUGCCCUUGAUCAAUUAUUUCCAAAGAAGCAUUCAAUUCAUCAGUCACUUACAUUGAUUUUUGUGGCUUGUACUUCUCCUCAACAUGAGUAUCUUCAUUGCAGCUACUCCAAAUCUGCCACAUAACUGAAGCAUUAAUAGUGCUCUUCCUUGCAUCAAGGAAAUAUGGAUCGAAGAUAUCUCUUGACCAUGUUUUCGGGUGCAACCUUGGGAGUUUUAUGUCAAAAUAUUCUCAAGAAGAAUCCAAGAAUAAACUUGCAUGCUCACGUGUGAAAAGGGCAUAUGAAGUAACAUUUCCUCACCAAGGCCACACAUAGGGCACACACAUAACCCCAUCACAUGCCUUUUUAGUUAUGCAUAUGAAGGUAGGAUAUUUUUCAUUACUCUGCACCAAAAUACUCUUAACUUGGAUUGUACCCUAAGCUUUCGUUGCCUUUUACAUUUUUCUUCCCCAUUAGAUGAACUAGAUAGUCCAGCUACCACACGAUACCUUGUGUUCAUCUCGGCUCUGUACAACAAUUGAACAGAAGAAAUGUCAUUUCUUUACCAUACCCAUGACCAAAUGUUCUCUGCUACUCCCUCCGUCCCAAAAUACUGCCAUCCAUGUCGACAACAAUGAGUCAUAUAGGACCGCUAUGCCUCUGUUGAAGGAGGUGGUGGAGCGAUCCGGAGAUUAUUCUGCCAUCCAUGUUGAGUAAAACCUCACUGGCCACUUGCUCCAACCGCAUACACACCGCCAUAAACAACGGUUGGUACUCAGUUCGGUGUAGCAUACACCAUGUAGGAAGCGAGUGCUUACUCCUAGUUACUGAAUUAUUGUUAGACUAUGUAUAGCUUCUGUACCUAUGUACGUAUAUGGUACAUAUUGUAACACAACCAUUAUAUAUAAUGAGAUAAGCCACCCCUAGAGGGUUGUGCUGGUUCCCCAAAACUUAUUGUCUUACAUGGUAUCACGCUAGGUUACGAUCGCUUCCGCUUCUAAACCCUAAUACCCGCACCGCCGCCGCAGCCGCCGCCGCCUUCACCGCCGCCGCCGCGCCACCGAUCGCGCCGCCGCCAUGUCGAGCGCCGCCAUCACCGGUUCCACUGCUGCGGGCUUCCUCCCGGCCUCUCUUGCGGCUCUGCUCAACCUCCCGCUCGAUGCCGUCUCUGUUCCGGCUCCGAUCGGGACAAGGAGCAUCAGCUCCGUCUUCUCCACGCCGCCGGCGCCCUCGCUUGGGCAUGACCUCGUGGUCCACACCGCGGCGCCGCCGUCCGCUGCGGACUCCGCAGGCGUCGUCCCGCCGCUCCUGCCGCAAGCGGAUCACACUGCCCCACUGGCGGGGUUGGCGGCGUCCGCCCCGGCCGCGGGCCUUGCGGCGUCCGCACCGGCCGCGAGCUUUGCGGCGCCCGUCCUGGCUGCGGUCCCGCCUCCUCCCGCAUCGGCUUCGGUGCCUCCGGCUGCCUCCAUGGUGUUUGCACCCCAGGCAGCCUCCUCGAUGGGAUUGUCUUCGCCGCUGCCGUUUCACUUCGGUCAUCUCAUCACCAUCAAGCUCUCCGCCGACAACUACAUCUUCUGGCGUGCGCAGGUUCUCCCGCUCUUGGGGAGUCACUACCUGCUAGGCUACGUCGACGGAUCGCUUCCCUGCCCACCCGCGCUGGUAGACAGCGUGCACGGUCCGGUCUACAAUCCGGCCCAUCGCGUCUGGACGGGGCAGGACCAGGCGAACCUCUCCUCCAUCCAGGGGUCGCUCUCGCCGGCAGUUGCCGGCCUUGUUGUCUUCGCGAAGACGUCUCAUGAGGCCUGGACCAUCCUUGAGCGCACCUUUGCAGCGCAGUCCCAGGCUCGUGUCUCUGCACUCCGUCGUCAGCUUGGAGAGUGUCAGAAGCUUGACUCCACUGCCACUGAGUUCUACAACAAGGUCAAGGGCCUCGCCGACACAUUGGCCUCCAUUGGACAGCCCCUCACCGACUCCGAGUUCAACUCAUUUAUUGUCAAUGGUCUUGAUGAGGAGUAUGAUGCCUUAGUCGAGAUCAUCAACGAGCGGGGCAACUCGACACCCAUGCUGGCACACGAGGUUUUCUCUCGGCUCCUUCUCACUGAGCAACGGGUCGAGACUCGCCGCACCAGGGGCACUGGCUCCCUCUCGGCCAACGCCGCCACCAAGGGUGGCCGCUCUUCUUCAUCACCCCGGUCUCCCUUGGGGCUGCCACCGUCGCCCGCCUCGGCCCCCCCACCUACUGCGACCUUACCGGGGGCUGGCGGUCCACGUGUGUGUUAGCUUUGUGGCCGCGAUGGGCACUGGGCCUCCAAGUGUCAUAAGCGCUUCCAGCGAAGCUUCCUUGGUCUUGGCAAUGACGGCAAAGAUACACGCAACAAUGCCCGUCAGGUCGCCAUGGCUGAUCGUCCCGCGCCGCAGAAGCAACAGGGACACACUCAGUCCUACUCCAUCGAUCCACACUGGUACAUGGACUCUGGGGCGACAGAGCAUCUAACUAGCGAGAUGGGGAAGCUUCACACUCGUGAACCCUAUCAUGGCUCCGACAAGAUCCACACCGCCAAUGGAGCAGGUAUGCACAUCUCUCAUAUUGGUCAAGCAUCUCUUCUCACUAGACAUGCCAAUAGGAGUCUUCAGCUUCGCAAUGUUCUUCGAGUUCCAUCUGUGACCCGUAAUCUUCUUUCAGUUCCUAAACUCACACGUGAUAAUAAUGUGCUUUGUGAAUUUCACCCUUUUGAUCUUUUUAUUAAGGAUCGGGGCACGAGGGACAUUCUUCUUAGUGGGCGGUUGUGCCAGGGCCUCUACCGUCUGUAGCAUCCUGGUGUCGCUCGUGUUUUCAGUGGAGUUUGGGUCUCUCCGUCACAGUGGCAUGCUCGUCUUGGUCACCCGGCCACACCUAUUGUCCGUCAUAUUUUGCGUCAUCAUGAGCUUCCUAGUUUGUCUAGUCAUAAAGAUGUAGCAGUGUGUGAUGCUUGUCAGCAGGGGAAGAGUCAUCAACUUCCUUUUUUGGAGUCCAGUCGUGAGGUGAAACAUCCUUUAGAACUUGUGUUUUCAGAUGUAUGGGGUCCUGCUCAGACUUCUGUCAGUGGUCAUAAUUACUAUAUCAGUUUCGUUGAUGCUUAUAGUCGCUUUACCUGGCUUUACCUUAUUAAACGCAAAUCUGAUGUGUUUGAUAUUUUUGUUCAGUUUCAAAAACAUGUUGAACGUCUUCUCAAGCACAAAAUUGUUCAUGUCCAGUCAGACUGGGGGGGGCGAGUAUCGCAACCUCAACUCUUUCUUUCAGUCGCUUGGGAUAGCUCAUCGUUUAGCAUGUCCACAUACACAUCAGCAGAAUGGUUCAGUCGAACGUAAGCAUCGUCAUAUUGUUGAAGCUGGUCUUACUCUUUUGGCCCAUGCAUCUGUUCCGUUUCGGUUUUGGAGUGAUGCUUUCAUCACUGCAUGCUUUCUCAUCAACCGUACUCCUACUCGUGUUUUAAACAUGAAGACUCCCAUUGAGGUUCUCCUUAAUGAACAACCUGAUUAUACCUUUCUCAAGGUAUUUGGGUGUGCUUGCUGGCCGCAUCUUCGUCCAUAUAACAAGCGCAAGCUUGAGUUUCAUUCUAAGAAGUGUGUUUUUCUUGGCUAUAGCUCUCUUCAUAAAGGUUACAAAUGUCUUCAUGUUCCCACUAAUCGUGUCUAUAUAUCUCGGGACGUCGUGUUUGAUGAGCAUGUUUUUCCCUUUGCCAACCUUCCUGUGUCCACUGUCGAACCACCAUCCCUGCAUUCAUCCUCUGUUGCUUCUGACCAAUUUGAUGAUGUUGCAUACUCUCCUUUGCUGUUACCUAACCAUGGUGCAGGAACCGGACGUGGAGCUCGUUUGGAGCUGUUGGAGGAUUCACCAUCAUCAUCGUCGUCUUCUGGUGGGCACGUCGAUCGCCCUAUGUUGCAUGGCAUCGAUUCACGUGCCCAUGCAUGGUCACCCGACGAGCCCGUCGCGCCGAGCAUCUCCACUGCUCGGUCCGUUUCGCAAGCGGCCGCCGAGUCGCCCGCGGCUCGGCCCGUCACGCCGUCUUCGCCUGCGGCUCGGCCCGUCACGCCGUCUUCGCCCGCGGCUCGGGUCCUCACGUCGCCUUCAUCAGCGGAUCGGCCCGCGACACCGGCCGCGCCACGGCCCACUAUGCCGAGCUCGCCAUCGGCCCGGUCUGUGAUGCCGGAGUCGCCAGCUGCUUCGUCUGCUCUGCCGGUUUCGCCGGUGGGUCGGCCUUCUUCGCCAACCGAGUCCGAGGCUACCGUGACUGGCUCCUCGUCACCGGCUGACUCGUCAACGUCGCCGUCCUCCAGCCCGUUGCAGGCUGCUCCGUCGACCUCGGUGGUUCCUGUGUCCCGACCACAUACACGCAGUCGCAGUGGCAUUUUCAAACCUAAGGAACGUAAGGAUGGUACGGUUGUUUGGUUGGCUGCUUGUUUGGCUGCUGCUGUUGCGGAUCCAUCUUCUGAGCCUCGCUCAUAUCAGGCUGCCCUGCGCAUUCCACAUUGGCGAGAGGCUAUGGAGCAGGAGUUUCAUGCUCUUCUUCGUAACAAGACAUGGACUCUCGUUCCUCCACCACCACGGGUAAAUGUUAUUGACUCAAAAUGGGUAUUCAAAGUGAAGAAGCAUUCGGAUGGAUCUAUUGAGCGUUACAAAGCGCGACUUGUUGCUCGCGGUUUUCGGCAGCGUCAUGGUCUUGACUAUGAGGACACCUUCAGUCCUGUCGUCAAGCCUACCACUAUUCGGCUUCUUCUCUCCAUUGCUGUUUCUCGUGGUUGGUCACUUCGUCAACUUGACGUGCAGAAUGCUUUUCUACAUGGAUUUUUGGAGGAAGAGGUUUAUAUGAAACAGCCGCCUGGUUUCUCUGAUCCUGAUCGUCAUGACUAUAUCUGUCGUCUUUCCAAAGCACAACUAACCUGAUGUAUUUCUUAUUAAAACACACAAACAACUUGAUUUCCAGCAAGAAUACAAACGUGUAAGCUGAGAACUGCACACCUCAGCCCGGCGAACACUCCAGGCCGCCGUGGCACGUCCCGGAGAAGAUUGAACGCAUAUAGCAACAACAUAUCUGUACACGGCAAUAUCGGAAGCACAUCGGCGAACACUUGAGGCCGCCGCCACACGUCGAUUGCAGGCAUAACAACAACAAAUCUAGACGCGGCAAUGUCGGAUGCACAUUGGCGAAAAGUCGAACACUCAACGCCACCAGCGCACAUCCCGGAGAUCAAAGGCGCAACAGCAACACAUCUAUACGCGGCAAUGUCGGAGGUACAUCAGUGAAUACUGCAUCGCCACACGUCCUCGAGAUCUUACGCAUGGCAACAACAAAUCUAUACGUGGCAACGUUGGAGGCACGUGGGCCGGUGAAUCGAAGGCGGGAUAGCAACACAUCCAAUGCAAAGCUCAAGAUGCCGGGACUCCCAACAGAUCAAAGUCAUGACAGCGUUAUCAUCAACUUUGUACAAUAUGUCUCCACGUACUACCUACAUAUAUGUAAUGAAUAAAAAAUAAUUUCAAAUUUCGUUUGAGGGUAACAACAAUACGAUGUACAGAGCCAAAAGGAGAGAGUAGAGCAAUACGUGCAUCUUUUUUUUUUUGUUGAGAGAAGAAUAAACUCACGUGCAUCUAAGCUACCGAUGUCUCAACCCUAGCCUAAAAAAAUUGCCAAGUGUCUGCAUCUACGGAUUGGACGCUAGACUUUGUAUUAUUCUUUUAUGUUAGCAUACGUUGAUAGAUUGGUGCAAAUAAGUUUGAUGUCAAAAAACUAUAGCAAGCACAUAGCUCAAAACUAAAUGAUUGACCCAACAAAACAAAAUAUUACAUAAAUGUUACUGUCGCUUUAAGCUAGAGAAUCUGCACAUUUGAUCAGGGGUCAAUCGAAGGACAAACGUUUGCGGGUAAUUUCUAUGACGUACCAUAAGAAGAAAUAGCCCCUUUAUACUAGCAAACGGGUCCGUGCGUUGUAAUGGGAGAAAAAAAAGAAUCUCCAAUGGCCAUGACCAUAUUUUGCUGCAUCACCGAGAUACCCUAUCACUCUCAAUUUUGUGAAAUCAUGAACAAUUUUUGCAAUCACGAACAUAUUUUUAAACUCUUACACAUAUUUGAAAUCAUAAACAUUUUUCAGAUUCAUGAACACUUAUACAAAUUUUAGAACAUUUCUGAAAUCAAGAACAUUUUCGGAAUUGAUGAACAUUUUAUAGUAUUUGCAAACAUUUUUUAAAAAACUUGAACAUCUUUAUAAACAAUUUUUUUAAUCAACAAACAUUUUUAUGGAAAUUGGUGGAACAAUUUUAGAAAUUCACGAACAUUUUUUGAUUUAACGAACAUUUUUUGAAAUACAUGAUCAGUUUUUGAAUUAGUGAACAUUUUCUGAAUGACUAAACUAUUUUGUAAGGCACCAAUAGUUUUUGAAUUUUAGGAUAUUUUCCCAUUCAUGAACAUUUUUCUGAACUGGUGAUUUGUUUUUCAAUUUCAUUAAUAAUUUUUGAUACACGAAANNNNNNNNNNNNNNNNNNNNNNNNNNNNNNNNNNNNNNNNNNNNNNNNNNNNNNNNNNNNNNNNNNNNNNNNNNNNNNNNNNNNNNNNNNNNNNNNNNNNUGCAGCCCGCUUCUUUCUCUGUAGUCAGGACGCGGUGACACGCGCUUUGACAUCGGAUGACGCGCUCACAGGCACGGGAGGGGCGGUACAACAUGGCACCAUCAAUGGCAGCCAUGAUGCCCGUGCCACUGUGGUCCCUCUCAGUGUCGACCUGGAGCAACUCGCCACUCCUCGGCUCGUGACCGGCGGGGUUGACGGGCCACCUAGCUAUUGUUUAUGCGAGACAACUCUUUUUCCUGCUCAUCAGAUGCCAUGGAGAAAACUGUUCAAGGAGAAAAAUGGUGAGUGGAGGUGUGAUGCAGUUCUUGCUCGACAUCUGACAUCUAUCUAUUAUAUAAUUAAAACGAUAGAAAACGAACGGUUAAGAUUAAUUGUUCUAAAGUUAAGAAAAAACAACGGUGGAGAUUUACAGCAUAUAUGUUUUUUUUUUUUGAAAAUUACAGCAUAGAUGUUUGAACCACGUGCAUUACACGUACAUGUACAAGACCAAAACAGACGUACAUGUACCAGACCAAAACAGACGACCCGUCAAACAUAGUACGAUUGACUGAUCUCCGUAAAGAAUACGUCCAAUAAGGAAGGAGUCCUGAUUGAUUUCUAACUGGAACACGCACAACUAACCUGAUGUAUUUCUUAUUAAAACACACAAACAACUUGAUUUCCAGCAAGAAUACAAACGUGUAAGCUGAGAACUGCACACCUCAGCCCGGCGAACACUCCAGGCCGCCGUGGCACGUCCCGGAGAAGACUGAACGCAUAUAGCAACAACAUAUCUGUACACGGCAAUAUCGGAAGCACAUCGGCGAACACUUGAGGCCGCCGCCACACGUCGAUUGCAGGCAUAACAACAACAAAUCUAGACGCGGCAAUGUCGGAUGCACAUUGGCGAAAAGUCGAACACUCAACGCCACCAGCGCACAUCCCGGAGAUCAAAGGCGCAACAGCAACACAUCUAUACGCGGCAAUGUCGGAGGUACAUCAGUGAAUACUGCAUCGCCACACGUCCUCGAGAUCUUACGCAUGGCAACAACAAAUCUAUACGCGGCAACGUUGGAGGCACGUGGGCCGGUGAAUCGAAGGCGGGAUAGCAACACAUCCAAUGCAAAGCUCAAGAUGCCGGGACUCCCAACAGACCAAAGUCAUGACAGCGUUAUCAUCAACUUUGUACAAUAUGUCUCCAGGUACUACCUACAUAUAUGUUAUGAAUAAAAAAAUAAUUUCAAAUUUCGUUUGAAGGUAACAACGAUACGAUGUACAGAGCCAAAAGGAGAGAGUAGAGCAAUACGUGCAUCUUUUUUUUUUGUUGAGAGAAGAAUAAACUCACGUGCAUCUAAGCUACCGAUGUCUCAACCCUAGCCUAAAAAAAGUUGCCGAGUGUCUGCAUCUACGGAUUGGACGCUAGACUUUGUAUUAUUCUUUUAUGUUAGCAUACGUUGAUAGAUUGGUGCAAAUAAGUUUGAUGUCAAAAAACUAUAGCAAGCACAUAGCUCAAAACUAAAUGAUUGACCCAACAAAACAAAAUAUUACAUAAAUGUUACUGUCGCUUUAAGCUAGAGAAUCUGCACAUUUGAUCAGGGGUCAAUCGAAGGACAAACGUUAUUAGUCAGGUUGCUCACAAAAAUAAAAACAUAUUUUUCAUUAUGUGAAUAAAGAAUAAAACUAAAUUUAUAUCUGCAGUUCAAAAAUAUGAGUAAAAAUAAAUAGAAAAUUAUUUUUAUCAUAUUAGAUUCAGAAAUGGGAUUUACAUAUAAAUUAUACUGAACAUGAAAUACAAUAAUAAAAUUUAAAAAAUCAAAUUACCGUCAGAUUAAAAUGAAACUUGAUGCAAAUGAAUGGACAAAAAAAGUCACUCUUGGGUCAAUUUUCACAGCUAUUUUAUGAGUAUCUUUGCUUACAUGAAUCUCGAUGAGAGAAUCAGAUAGUUCUGAUCGAUCGUUGAAUGCUAAUUUCACAGUUGUCCGAGAAAUAGCAAUACCAAAAUGUUUAUUACUAACUAUAUAUAAAUAACAUUUUGUCAAAGACGAACGUACCAAUCAUAUUACCCACAUACGAGUAGGAAAUUCCCACCAAAGUUUGAUCAUGUUUCCUCGAGAUGCAUACGUUACCUAUAAUAUUUUUUGUAAAUUAAACUAUAUAUCAACGACAAUGUCAGAAAAAUAAACUAAGUAAUAUCUGUUUCCCUACAUUGGAAAAUAUUGGUAUAGAAUAUAAUAAUAUAUAUAAUUGAACAUGUGGGUGAAGGAAAGAAAAAAGGUUAAGCAAGAAGGUUAGGAGCAAAUUUAUUGCAAGUGCGCGAAUAACCAUUUUAGCUAUUCUAAAAAUCACAUUUCAAUUCAAAAGAACAUAUUCAUCAUCAGAAAAAAAGCUACUCUGUGCUCGAGUGAGAGAAAAUCUAGCAAUUUCCACACCAUUAAAAAAUAGGUUGUCUUAGACUGGACAGCAGCGAAAUAGUAAGGAACAUAGUUUCAUUUUGUUGGCAAUGACUUCUAGAGUAAUAUGAGUGGAAGGACAAAUGCAUAGGGAUGAGAUGGAAAGGGAUUGGGAAAGCUGGCAACCAACAGCUACAAAUCGUGAGACUCCUAGAAAAUUUCAAUGGGACACCAAGUUUAAUAAUUUUUUCUAAAUAUAACUUCUCUAUGUAAAUACUCAUGUAGCAGCUAACCAAAAUCAUCAUGAGAAAAAAACUACACUUUGCUCGAGGGAGAGAAAAUCUAGCAAUUUCCACGCCAUUAAAAAAUUAGGUUGUUUCAGACUGGACAGCAGCGAAAUAGUAAAUAACAUUGUUUCAUUUUCCUGGGAAUGACUUCUAAAGUAAUAUCACGGCAAGGAUGAAUGCAUAGGGAUGAGAAGGAAAGGAAUUGGGAAAAAGCUGGCAACCAACAACUACUAAUUGUGAGACUUUUAGAAAAUUUAAAUGGAACCCCAAGUUUAAUAAUGUUUUCUAAAUAUAACUUCUCUAUAUAAAUAAUCAUGUAGCAGCUAACCAAAAAAAGACAUUAAUUUUUUAGCAAGUCUAGCCGCGCAAAUGCGCGGGUUACAUUGCUAGUUGUUUAAAUAGCGAUGGGACACGAGGAGCCAACCGGCGUUCUGUUUAAUGCCAGCCGGCUGACGAACGAACAUGUGGCUGCAGUAAUUAUCCUGGCACACGCGCGGGUUUAAUGGUGGAAGGCGGGCAGUCUGGAGGAAUGAGGCAGGAUGUGUGUUUAGCCGGCGUGCAGCGGGGCGGUACCCUUGGCGUGCGUGGGGCGGUACUGGAGGCAUGAAUGUGGGCAGCCGGCGCAGAGCGGGAACACGUGUGUGCGAGAGAGGAGGGGGUUUGGGUGGGCACGAGUGGUCGGAAGCAGUCGUGGGUGUUGUCUGGACGCGUGCAAAGCCCCCCUCCCCCAUGUGUUGUCUCCGGUUUGCGGGAGAAAGUACGUCUGGACUGCCCUGUGGACCGAUACAAGCCCGCAUUAGAUGGCACAACACGUCCAGACCAUGUGGUCCGGAUGGUUGUGGACGGUUUAAUUGAGGGUCGGCGUUGGAGAUGCCUUAGAGUUUAUGAAUCCAUUGUGUUUUCCUAAUCAUAAAAAAUCACUUAUAAUAAGUUAUAUGGAAAGACACGUAUAUAAGUUAGGUUCAGACUCCAGCUUUCCUCUUAUAUAUGUUUUCUUUUCUGAUCCGACUGAUUCCAAUAGAGUGAGCCUAGCGUUGUUUUUCUGGAAACUCGAUACACGUUCUUUCAAGCAAAUCACAUCCAUUCUUUUUAACUAAUUUUUUUCUUGUUUUAAUAAUAUAAUAAAUCAUUUGUAUUUCUUAUCUCGAACAGUUGACCUGUAAUUCCUAUUGUAAUCUAAGGAUAAUGUUUGGAUUUUACUUUCAAAUAUUUGAAAUGGCCAUGAUGGAAUCACAUCCAUUUAUUUUAUUAUUAUUUGAAUUUGAUCCAAAAGAUAAAUAAUGAGUACACGUCCUGAAAACUUUUCUGAGAACUUUGGUAAUCAAAAGACAAAAAAGGUUUUAAGAACUGAAGCAAACCACGAAUUUUACUCUCUAUUUUACUAAAGCAAGUGGCUGCUAUUUAGCUCUAGUGAAUACCAAAUUGACCAACAACCUUUUUUCCAAAUUGGAAGGAAUGCAGUUCUCAGCUCUCACCGUGGUGAUUAUACAAUCUGGAUUUUCGAGCUGUAGGUAGUCAACUUAUGUUAGUGGCAUAUGUAACAUAGUGUUGGUCACUGGGAAUGGAUGAAGCCAUGAGUGAAGGAACAGGAAAUGACAGAAGUAUGAUUUGUAGAAUUUCAAAACUCAAAAUAUCUAGUUUUAUGGAGUGAUAUGAAAUAAGCAAACCAACUGCUUAUAAAAAUGUAAAAUUAAACGACAUAUUUAGAAAUGUGAUUGUGAAGUCAUUGUCACAAAAUAUGACCCCACUAAAAAUGAACAUUCAACCUUAUUUUCAGAAGUUUGCAUACAAAUCCCAUGUAAAUUAUGGUAGUGCUCACAAACAAAUAAACUAAAAUCGUGCUUGAUCCACCAUGAAACUUACUACCUUGUCUAUAUUCUUGAAGAGCUCAAAAAAUGCUGAAGCAAUGCCACCUAGCUAGAUAUAUACUUUUGUCAUGUCCAGAGAUUUCCUGCACCAUGAACAAGAAUGCCACCGCAAUAAUAGUCGCUCUUUUGCGACAAAAAAAAUACUGACUUUGGACAGCAAUGCCUGCACAACUACUAUCUGUACGCCAUGCAUGCACCCAUGUAUGUCAGUAAUACAUAUUAUAAGCUUGUGAACAUUGGUUUCAAAGUAGUGAUACCAACAAUACAUCAUCCAGUGAUGGCCAGUCGCAGUACCUAGAUGCCACUUCGGUGCCUGGUUUCAAAGUCGCAAGUUCAUGGCAGGGAAAGCAAUCAUGUGUCUAGAGUAGAGACUUAAAUAAAGACCCAUGCCAUGUAGAUGGAUCAGAUAAUUAUGCCAAUCCUGAUUUUUCAGUGCAAAUCCAGUUCUGAAAUUUCCACUUGUUUAGUUGCUCCCAAAAAGGGCUAUACAGUUAACCAAAAUGAAUUUUGCUCCUAACACCACAGUUUGUUUCCAACGAUCAAGAGAGCGAGCUUCACCAUAGUGAAGUGUGUUUGAUUAAGUACCUGAGCCGGUGUUGUACAUGCAUAUAUGAUAUGUUCACCGCUCCUACCGGAUGCCCGCCGCCGAACUCACCAUCCGUUCUACACAAGCAGCAAAACCGAUCAGAUAAGCUAUUUCGGUUGUUACUUGUAUAGUCUGAUGGAACGAUCAGUUCCAGAAUUACGCCAUGGCGCCAUCUUUUAUAUGCAAUAUACUGUGAACUGAAUUUUCUGUCAGUGAAAUUGACAGAACAGAGUACUACAGGGUAGAGGGGUAGAGCAUGCAAGUGGUGAUUGUUGUGUGGUUUUUGCGUUAGUUAUUUGUGCACCGGGCGUCUAGGUAGCGUUGGCUGGCCAUCUGCAGCUCAUAGGCGCACGAGCACAGCGGUGGCACGCCCAGCACCGCCUCCACUGCCCGCAAGGACGCCACCUAGCCGCCGCCGUAUCUGGAGAAGAAGCAGCAAGCAUGUAAGAGUUUGUCCGUGGACGCUCUAUGGAUCGACCUGAUCGAUCACUCGUUUUGUGCAUGCACCACCACACAUGGCUGAACCGAGCAUCCUCCUGGCGGCGCCCAGUGAGACCGUCCUCGCAGCGGCCACGGCUCGAUGGUUCGCCCCCGUGUGCACGGUACAUGCCGCAGCCUGCAGUCAAAACAGAGCGCGUAGAAGGUGAAGGCAAGGGGAGCUGGUGUGCUGGGAGGGAGACUCCUGGAGCUAGGGAGCACGCCGACGCCAUUGCUCAAGGUGCAAGUUUGUUUCAAUCUUCAAUCCUGCUCGCUGUUGAUUCUGGUUACAGUAAAUUUUAGCUAGAUAUGGUGUAACCUAAGUGUUAUGCCUAGUCUUAAUCUAUCUAUCUAUCCAAUCUUCUAUUCGGCGAGGUGGCUGCGCCUGUGGCAGAUGUGGCCGCUGCCAUGGCCGGCGCAAGACCUGGUCGAUCUCCCUCUUCUGUAUUUGAGAAAAAAAAAUCUCCCUCUUCUCUUCUGAUGAGAAGGGGAAGAGAUGGUGAGAGAUGAAGUCGACGGCUUUGGGGAGAGGAUACGGGAGGACGCCGGUAGUGAGGCGGCAUGAGGAAGACAAGGUGGUUGGCAGCGGCGACGCGUGAGGGGAGGGCAAGGGAGGUGUAGUGGUGCAUGUUGAGGAGUGGGUGUGCAGCGUGCCCAGUUCUCGAGGGAGGAAGGAGGUCGUCAAGGGAGUGAUCCAUGGGAGUUUUUUUUUCCUUCUGAGCGAGCCUAGUUGGGCUCUCUGCAGCGUCUAGGCCCAAUGCACCACAUGUCUUCAAAUUGGCCACCAGUAGCAGCCCAUAGGACAGACAGGGCCAGUUUGCAAAUUUUAAAACAUAAGUUUUUUAGCGCCCAUGAAAAACAGAACACAUAUCUUUCCAAACAUAAUGAACUGUAGGUACCACCAAAAAAACCAUAAUGAACUAUAGGUUGUUACAAGAACUCAUGCCAUCCCACAGCCGCCCUCCCACCCUGCCAACAUUGUUGCAACUGCACUCGCAAGCGUUACCAUAGAUGAUCAUUUGCAUGAUUUCGCGUAAAACAAAAUAAGAUCUACAAACGAAUAGAAGCUACACAUACCUUGGCAUGCACACACAUUGGAAGCCAUACCAAGGUGAUAAGUGUUAAUAACUUGUACAACAUAUACAACAGUUAAGAUAAGUAAAAGCAAUUUGAUGAGUCAUGGUCUAUCAAAGCAAGCUUUAUUACUACUCUAAUCUAUCUUAACAGGUCACACAUGAUUACAAUCCUUUUUGUGUGCAAGUCAAGCUUAUCUAGUUUACACGUAACAACUUGUAGAACAUUACACAAUUGAUGUUUGCUAAUAACUUCUAGAAAGCUAAAACACUUGACAUGUAAAAAGAAUUUGAUGAGUCAUGACCUAGUAAAUCAAGUUACAUUACUAGUCUCAUCUAUCUUAACAGGUCACACAAGAUUACAAACUAAGUUCUGCGCAAGCAAUGCUUAUCUAGUUUACACAUAACAACUUGCAAAACAUUACAAAUUUAGUUUCAAAAAAUUAGGCAAUCUAGAUUAGUGUUUGAGUUGUAAAGUGAAUAAGAUGAGUCAUGUGUGUUAUCACAACUUUUUGGUGGUGGAAUGAUAGUGCCACCAAACACAACAUACCAAAUUAUGAUUUUAGGAAGCAUCCAAGCACUUUCCAGACAAGCAAAUGCCAAUUGUGAAGGAGAUGAUGCCAUGGCAGCUAUAAAUAGGCCUGUAGCAUGAUGAUCAUCCUUCCUCAUCCAUCAUUCUCAUAAGUAGAGUGCAUCAUUCAAGCCAAGCAAGCAGUGGUCAAUACAAAUCCACCAUGAAGACCUUUCUCAUCCUUGCCCUCCUUGCUAUCGUGGCGACCACCACCACAACUGCAGUUAGAGUUCCAGUGCCACAAUUGCAGCCACAAAAUCCAUCUCAGCAACAACCACAAGAGCAAGUUCCAUUGGUGCAACAACAACAAUUUCUAGGGCAGCAACAACAACAAUUUCCAGGGCAACAACAACCAUUUCCACCACAAUAGCCAUAUCCGCAGCCGCAACCAUUUCUGCCACAACUACCAUAUCCGCAGCCGCAACCAUUUCCACCACAACAAUCAUAUCCACAACCACAACCACAAUAUCCGCAACCACAACAACCAAUUUCGCAGCAACAAGCACUACAACAACAACAACAACAACAACAACAACAACAAAAACAAAUCCUUCAACAAAUUCUGCAACAACAACUGAUUCCAUGCAGGGAUGUCGUCUUGCAACAACCCAAUAUAGCACAUGCAAGCUCACAAGUAUCGCAACAAAGUUACCAACUGUUGCAACAAUUAUGUUGUCAGCAACUGUGGCAGACCCCCGAGCAGUCACGGUGCCAAGCCAUCCACAAUGUCAUUCAUGCUAUUAUUUUGCAUCANNNNNNNNNNNNNNNNNNNNNNNNNNNNNNNNNNNNNNNNNNNNNNNNNNNNNNNNNNNNNNNNNNNNNNNNNNNNNNNNNNNNNNNNNNNNNNNNNNNNNNNNNNNNNNNNNNNNNNNNNNNNNNNNNNNNNNNNNNNNNNNNNNNNNNNNNNNNNNNNNNNNNNNNNNNNNNNNNNNNNNNNNNNNNNNNNNNNNNNNNNNNNNNNNNNNNNNNNNNNNNNNNNNNNNNNNNNNNNNNNNNNNNNNNNNNNNNNNNNNNNNNNNNNNNNNNNNNNNNNNNNNNNNNNNNNNNNNNNNNNNNNNNNNNNNNNNNNNNNNNNNNNNNNNNNNNNNNNNNNNNNNNNNNNNNNNNNNNNNNNNNNNNNNNNNNNNNNNNNNNNNNNNNNNNNNNNNNNNNNNNNNNNNNNNNNNNNNNNNNNNNNNNNNNNNNNNNNNNNNNNNNNNNNNNNNNNNNNNNNNNNNNNNNNNNNNNNNNNNNNNNNNNNNNNNNNNNNNNNNNNNNNNNNNNNNNNNNNNNNNNNNNNNNNNNNNNNNNNNNNNNNNNNNNNNNNNNNNNNNNNNNNNNNNNNNNNNNNNNNNNNNNNNNNNNNNNNNNNNNNNNNNNNNNNNNNNNNNNNNNNNNNNNNNNNNNNNNNNNNNNNNNNNNNNNNNNNNNNNNNNNNNNNNNNNNNNNNNNNNNNNNNNNNNNNNNNNNNNNNNNNNNNNNNNNNNNNNNNNNNNNNNNNNNNNNNNNNNNNNNNNNNNNNNNNNNNNNNNNNNNNNNNNNNNNNNNNNNNNNNNNNNNNNNNNNNNNNNNNNNNNNNNNNNNNNNNNNNNNNNNNNNNNNNNNNNNNNNNNNNNNNNNNNNNNNNNNNNNNNNNNNNNNNNNNNNNNCAUAUGAAGUAACAUUUCCUCACCAAGGCCACACAUAGGGCACACACAUAACCCCAUCACAUGCCUUUUUAGUUAUGCAUAUGAAGGUAGGAUGUUUUUAAUUACUCUGCACCAAAAUACUCUUAACUUGGAUUGUACCCUAAGCUUUCGUUGCCUUUUACAUUUUUCUUCCCCAUUAGAUGAACUAGAUAGUCCAGCUACCACACAAUACCUUGUGUUCAUCUCGGCUCUGUACAACAAUUGAACAGAAGAAAUGUCAUUUCUUUACCAUAUCCAUGACCAAAUGUUCUCUGCUACUCCCUCCGUCCCAAAAUACUGCCAUCCAUGUCGACAACAAUGAGUCAUAUAGGACCGCUAUGCCUCUGUUGAAGGAGGUGGUGGAGCGAUCCGGAGAUUAUUCUGCCAUCCAUGUUGAGUAAAACCUCACUGGCCACUUGCUCCAACCGCAUACACACCGCCAUAAACAACGGUUGGUACUCAGUUCGGUGUAGCAUACACCAUGUAGGAAGCGAGUGCUUACUCCUAGUUACUGAAUUAUGUACACCAAAUAAACCCAUUUACACGAAGUUAAUGACAAAAAAGUUGAUGCUUGCUACGCAGAUGUGUAGUACAAAUUAAGAAGUGCAAGAUAAAAAGAUGCUGGUCCUUGAUUCGUUGUUGAUCCUGAGCAUGCCAUCAUCAACUUGUAGUUAAUUAUCAUACAAAUUGGCUCUUUCAUAGAGUUGGAGGCUAGCUCCUUGGAUCAGCACGCGCUUAAACACAAAGAACACGUAUAUGUAUUCUCUCCGAAGUUCAACUCUUGAUUGGCCAGCAAAAAUGGUCCGACCGGGUAGAGGAAAGGCAUGUUUGCUAGUACGCCUGGAGGAAAUGCCUUUGAUUAGGGCAUCUCCAACGGCGACCAGUAAAUUUUCUCCCAUAUUCGUCCACGGACAAGGGAUCAGUCCGUGGAUAUGGAUAUAGGAAUCGGCCAUCCAACGUUGUCCGCAUAUAUUUCGAACACUUCUUUUAAAAAAUCGAAUGAAAUUCAUGCAAACACAGUGGAUUCCAUACAAACCGGACAAAAAUGUUUACAUUUUGGACAUAUUUUUAACUAAAAACUGUACAGCCGGCGCCGGCGACGACGAAUAUCCUCCGGCGACAUGGAUACCCUUGACUAGUCUACUGCCGGCUGCAGCGGAUCUCCAAUGUCAUCCCCAUGUCCGGCAGCUGUGAGCCCUAGGUAUAUGCUUCAACGCAAAGAGCAGCUCGCCUCCCUACCACUCAUCGGAGUGGAACAACCAACUGAUGCUUCUGCCAAUGGGAAAGGGUUCCUACGCUACAUAGGUCAGAGUUGGUUUUGGGUUGGGAACGGUGGUGGCCUGCCAGAGGGCAAGACACCGGCUGUGUAUGCUGGUGUCACCUCAAUAUGGCAUUCAUGGGACCCAAGCGACAGCUUCUCCUCGACUAUUGUGGCGAGCGCAGACGUGUUGGACACCACCUCGUCGAUGUCCAUGCAGCCCGCUUCUUUCUCUGUAGUCAGGACGCGGUGACACGCGCUUUGACAUCGGAUGACGCGCUCACAGGCACGGGAGGGGCGGUACAACAUGGCACCAUCAAUAGCAGCAAUGAUGCCCGUGCCACUGUGGUCCCUAUCAGUGUCGACCUGGAGCAACUCGCCACUCCUCGGCUCGUGACCGGCGGGGUUGACGGGCUACCAAGCCAUUGUUUAUGCGAGACAACUCUUUUUCCUGCUCAUCAGAUGCCAUGGAGAAAACUGAUCAAGGAGAAAAAUGGUGAGUGGAGGUGUGAUGCAGUUCUUGCUCGACAUCAGACAUCUAUCUAUUAUAUAAUUAAAACGAUAGAAAACGAACGGUUAAGAUUAAUCGUUCUAAAGUUAAGAAAAAACAACGGUGGAGAUUUACAGCAUAUAUGUUUUUUUUUGAAAAUUAAAGCAUAGAUGUUUGAACCACGCGCAUUACACGUACAUGUACAAGACCAAAACAGACGUACAUGUACCAGACCAAAACAGACGACCCGUCAAACAUAGUACGAUUGACUGAUCUCCGUAAAGAAUACGUCCAAUAAGGAAGGAGGCCUGAUUGAUUUCUAACUGGAACACGCACAACUAACCUGAUGUAUUUCUUAUUAAAACACACAAACAACUUGAUUUCCAGCAAGAAUACAAACGUGUAAGCUGAGAACUGCACACCUCAGCCCGGCGAACACUCCAGGCCGCCGUGGCACGUCCCGGAGAAGAUUGAACGCAUAUAACAACAACAUAUCUGUACACGGCAAUAUCGGAAGCACAUCGGCGAACACUUGAGGCCGCCGCCACACGUCGAUUGCAGGCAUAACAACAACAAAUCUAGACGCGGCAAUGUCGGAUGCACAUUGGCGAAAAGUCGAACACUCAACGCCACCAGCGCACAUCCCGGAGAUCAAAGGCGCAACAGCAACACAUCUAUACGCGGCAAUGUCGGAGGUACAUCAGUGAAUACUGCAUCGCCACACGUCCUCGAGAUCUUACGCAUGGCAACAACUAAUCUAUACGUGGCAACGUUGGAGGCACGUGGGCCGGUGAAUCGAAGGCGGGAUAGCAACACAUCCAAUGCAAAGCUCAAGAUGCCGGGACUCCCAACAGAUCAAAGUCAUGACAGCGUUAUCAUCAACUUUGUACAAUAUGUCUCCACGUACUACCUACAUAUAUGUUAUGAAUAAAAAAAUAAUUUCAAAUUUCGUUUGAAGGUAACAACGAUACGAUGUACAGAGCCAAAAGGAGAGAGUAGAGCAAUACGUGCAUCUUUUUUUUUUGUUGAGAGAAGAAUAAACUCACGUGCAUCUAAGCUACCGAUGUCUCAACCCUAGCCUAAAAAAAGUUGCCGAGUGUCUGCAUCUACGGAUUGGACGCUAGACUUUGUAUUAUUCUUUUAUGUUAGCAUACGUUGAUAGAUUGGUGCAAAUAAGUUUGAUGUCAAAAAACUAUAGCAAGCACAUAGCUCAAAACUAAAUGAUUGACCCAACAAAACAAAAUAUUACAUAAAUGUUACUGUCGCUUUAAGCUAGAGAAUCUGCACAUUUGAUCAGGGGUCAAUCGAAGGACAAACGUUAUUAGUCAGGUUGCUCACAAAAAUAAAAACAUAUUUUUCAUUAUGUGAAUAAAGAAUAAAACUAAAUUUAUAUCUGCAGUUCAAAAAUAUGAGUAAAAAUAAAUAGAAAAUUAUUUUUAUCAUAUUAGAUUCAGAAAUGGGAUUUACAUAUAAAUUAUACUGAACAUGAAAUACAAUAAAAAAAUUUAAAAAAUCAAAUUACCGUCAGAUUAAAAUGAAACUUGAUGCAAAUGAAUGGACAAAAAAAGUCACUCUUGGGUCAAUUUUCACAGCUAUUUUAUGAGUAUCUUUGCUUACAUGAAUCUCGAUGAGAGAAUCAGAUAGUUCUGAUCGGUCGUUGAAUGCUAAUUUCACAGUUGUCCGAGAAAUAGCAAUACCAAAAUGUUUAUUACUAACUAUAUAUAAAUAACAUUUUGUCAAAGACGAACGUACCAAUCAUAUUACCCACAUACGAGUAGGAAAUUCCCACCAAAGUUUGAUCAUGUUUCCUCGAGAUGCAUACGUUACCUAUAAUAUUUUUUGUAAAUUAAACUAUAUAUCAACGACAAUGUCAGAAAAAUAAACUAAGUAAUAUCUGUUUCCCUACAUUGGAAAAUAUUGGUAUAGAAUAUAAUAAUAUAUAUAAUUGAACAUGUGGGUGAAGGAAAGAAAAAAGGUUAAGCAAGAAGGUUAGGAGCAAAUUUAUUGCAAGUGCGCGAAUAACCAUUUUAGCUAUUCUAAAAAUCACAUUUCAAUUCAAAAGAACAUAUUCAUCAUCAGAAAAAAAGCUACUCUGUGCUCGAGUGAGAGAAAAUCUAGCAAUUUCCACACCAUUAAAAAAUAGGUUGUCUUAGACUGGACAGCAGCGAAAUAGUAAGGAACAUAGUUUCAUUUUGUUGGCAAUGACUUCUAGAGUAAUAUGAGUGGAAGGACAAAUGCAUAGGGAUGAGAUGGAAAGGGAUUGGGAAAGCUGGCAACCAACAGCUACAAAUCGUGAGACUCCUAGAAAAUUUCAAUGGGACACCAAGUUUAAUAAUUUUUUCUAAAUAUAACUUCUCUAUGUAAAUACUCAUGUAGCAGCUAACCAAAAUCAUCAUGAGAAAAAAACUACACUUUGCUCGAGGGAGAGAAAAUCUAGCAAUUUCCACGCCAUUAAAAAAUUAGGUUGUUUCAGACUGGACAGCAGCGAAAUAGUAAAUAACAUUGUUUCAUUUUCCUGGGAAUGACUUCUAAAGUAAUAUCACGGCAAGGAUGAAUGCAUAGGGAUGAGAAGGAAAGGAAUUGGGAAAAAGCUGGCAACCAACAACUACUAAUUGUGAGACUUUUAGAAAAUUUAAAUGGAACCCCAAGUUUAAUAAUGUUUUCUAAAUAUAACUUCUCUAUAUAAAUAAUCAUGUAGCAGCUAACCAAAAAAAGACAUUAAUUUUUUAGCAAGUCUAGCCGCGCAAAUGCGCGGGUUAUAUUGCUAGUUGUUUAAAUAGCGAUGGGACACGAGGAGCCAACCGGCGUUCUGUUUAAUGCCAGCCGGCUGACGAACGAACAUGUGGCUGCAGUAAUUAUCCUGGCACACGCGCGGGUUUAAUGGUGGAAGGCGGGCAGUCUGGAGGAAUGAGGCAGGAUGUGUGUUUAGCCGGCGUGCAGCGGGGCGGUACCCUUGGCGUGCGUGGGGCGGUACUGGAGGCAUGAAUGUGGGCAGCCGGCGCAGAGCGGGAACACGUGUGUGCGAGAGAGGAGGGGGUUUGGGUGGGCACGAGUGGUCGGAAGCAGUCGUGGGUGUUGUCCGGACGCGUGCAAAGCCCCCCUCCCCCAUGUGUUGUCUCCGGUUUGCGGGAGAAAGUACGUCUGGACUGCCCUGUGGACCGAUACAAGCCCGCAUUAGAUGGCACAACAUGUCCGGACCAUGUGGUCCGGAUGGUUGUGGACGGUUUAAUUGAGGGUCGGCGUUGGAGAUGCCUUAGAGUUUAUGAAUCCAUUGUGUUUUCCUAAUCAUAAAAAAUCACUUAUAAUAAGUUAUAUGGAAAGACACGUAUAUAAGUUAGGUUCAGACUCCAGCUUUCCUCUUAUAUAUGUUUUCUUUUCUGAUCCGACUGAUUCCAAUAGAGUGAGCCUAGCGUUGUUUUUCUGGAAACUCGAUACACGUUCUUUCAAGCAAAUCACAUCCAUUCUUUUUAACUAAUUUUUUUCUUGUUUUAAUAAUAUAAUAAAUCAUUUGUAUUUCUUAUCUCGAACAGUUGACCUGUAAUUCCUAUUGUAAUCUAAGGAUAAUGUUUGGAUUUUACUUUCAAAUAUUUGAAAUGGCCAUGAUGGAAUCACAUCCAUUUAUUUUAUUAUUAUUUGAAUUUGAUCCAAAAGAUAAAUAAUGAGUAGACGUCCUGAAAACUUUUCUGAGAACUUUGGUAAUCAAAAGACAAAAAAGGUUUUAAGAACUGAAGCAAACCACGAAUUUUACUCUCUAUUUUACUAAAGCAAGUGGCUGCUAUUUAGGUCUAGUGAAUACCAAAUUGACCAACAACCUUUUUUCCAAAUUGGAAGGAAUGCAGUUCUCAGCUCUCACCGUGGUGAUUAUACAAUCUGGAUUUUCGAGCUGUAGCUAGUCAACUUAUGUUAGUGGCAUAUGUAACAUAGUGUUGGUCACUGGGAAUGGAUGAAGCCAUGAGUGAAGGAACAGGAAAUGACAGAAGUAUGAUUUGUAGAAUUUCAAAACUCAAAAUAUCUAGUUUUAUGGAGUGAUAUGAAAUAAGCAAACCAACUGCUUAUAAAAAUGUAAAAUUAAACGACAUAUUUAGAAAUGUGAUUGUGAAGUCAUUGUCACAAAAUAUGACCCCACUAAAAAUGAACAUUCAACCUUAUUUUCAGAAGUUUGCAUACAAAUCCCAUGUAAAUUAUGGUAGUGCUCACAAACAAAUAAACUAAAAUCGUGCUUGAUCCACCAUGAAACUUACUACCUUGUCUAUAUUCUUGAAGAGCUCAAAAAAUGCUGAAGCAAUGCCACCUAGCUAGAUAUAUACUUUUGUCAUGUCCAGAGAUUUCCUGCACCAUGAACAAGAAUGCCACCGCAAUAAUAGUCGCUCUUUUGCGACAAAAAAAAUACUGACUUUGGACAGCAAUGCCUGCACAACUACUAUCUGUACGCCAUGCAUGCACCCAUGUAUGUCAGUAAUACAUAUUAUAAGCUUGUGAACAUUGGUUUCAAAGUAGUGAUACCAACAAUACAUCAUCCAGUGAUGGCCAGUCGCAGUACCUAGAUGCCACUUCGGUGCCUGGUUUCAAAGUCGCAAGUUCAUGGCAGGGAAAGCAAUCAUGUGUCUAGAGUAGAGACUUAAAUAAAGACCCAUGCCAUGUAGAUGGAUCAGAUAAUUAUGCCAAUCCUGAUUUUUCAGUGCAAAUCCAGUUCUAAAAUUUCCACUUGUUUAGUUGCUCCCAAAAAGGGCUAUACAGUUAACCAAAAUGAAUUUUGCUCCUAACACCACAGUUUGUUUCCAACGAUCAAGAGAGCGAGCUUCACCAUAGUGAAGUGUGUUUGAUUAAGUACCUGAGCCGGUGUUGUACAUGCAUAUAUGAUAUGUUCACCGCUCCUACCGGAUGCCCGCCGCCGAACUCACCAUCCGUUCUACACAAGCAGCAAAACCGAUCAGAUAAGCUAUUUCGGUUGUUACUUGUAUAGUCUGAUGGAACGAUCAGUUCCAGAAUUACGCCAUGGCGCCAUCUUUUAUAUGCAAUAUACUGUGAACUGAAUUUUCUGUCAGUGAAGUUGACAGAACAGAGUACUACAGGGUAGAGGGGUAGAGCAUGCAAGUGGUGAUUGUUGUGUGGUUUUUACGUUAGUUAUUUGUGCACCGGGCGUCUAGGUAGCGUUGGCUGGCCAUCUGCAGCUCAUAGGCGCACGAGCACAGCGGUGGCACGCCCAGCACCGCCUCCACUGCCCGCAAGGACGCCACCUAGCCGCCGCCGUAUCUGGAGAAGAAGCAACAAGCAUGUAAGAGUUUGUCCGUGGACGCUCUAUGGAUCGACCUGAUCGAUCACUCGUUUUGUGCAUGCACCACCACACAUGGCUGAACCGAGCAUCCUCCUGGCGGCGCCCAGUGAGACCGUCCUCGCAGCGGCCACGGCUCGAUGGUUCGCCCCCGUGUGCACGGUACGUGCCGCAGCCUGCAGUCAAAACAGAGCGCGUAGAAGGUGAAGGCAAGGGGAGCUGGUGUGCUGGGAGGGAGACUCCUGGAGCUAGGGAGCACGCCGACGCCAUUGCUCAAGGUGCAAGUUUGUUUCAAUCUUCAAUCCUGCUCGCUGUUGAUUCUGGUUACAGUAAAUUUUAGCUAGAUAUGGUGUAACCUAAGUGUUAUGCCUAGUCUUAAUCUAUCUAUCUAUCCAAUCUUCUAUUCGGCGAGGUGGCUGCGCCUGUGGCAGAUGUGGCCGCUGCCAUGGCCGGCGCCAGACCUGGUCGAUCUCCCUCUUCUGUAUUUGAGAAAAAAAAUCUCCCUCUUCUCUUCUGAUGAGAAGGGGAAGAGGUGGUGAGAGAUGAAGUCGACGGCUUUGGGGAGAGGAUACGGGAGGACGCCGGUAGUGAGGCGGCAUGAGGAAGACAAGGUGGUUGGCAGCGGCGACGCGUGAGGGGAGGGCAAGGGAGGUGUAGUGGUGCAUGUUGAGGAGUGGGUGUGCAGCGUGCCCAGUUCUCGAGGGAGGAAGGAGGUCGUCAAGGGAGUGAUCCAUGGGAGUUUCUUUUCCUUCUGAGCGAGCCUAGUUGGGCUCUCUGCAGCGUCUAGGCCCAAUGCACCACAUGUCUUCAAAUUGGCCACCAGUAGCAGCCCAUAGAACAGACAGGGCCAGUUUACAAAUUUUAAAACAUAAGUUUUUUAGCGCCCAUGAAAAACAGAACACAUAUCUUUCCAAACAUAAUGAACUGUAGGUACCACCAAAAAAACCAUAAUGAACUAUAGGUUGUUACAAGAACUCAUGCCAUCCCACAGCCGCCCUCCCACCCUGCCAACAUUGUUGCAACUGCACUCGCAAGCGUUACCAUAGAUGAUCAUUUGCAUGAUUUCGCGUAAAACAAAAUAAGAUCUACAAACGAAUAGAAGCUACACAUACCUUGGCAUGCACACACAUUGGAAGCCAUACCAAGGUGAUAAGUGUUAAUAACUUGUACGACAUAUACAACAGUUAAGAUAAGUGAAAGCAAUUUGAUGAGUCAUGGUCUAUCAAAGCAAGCUUUAUUACUACUCUAAUCUAUCUUAACAGGUCACACAUGAUUACAAUCCUUUUUGUGUGCAAGUCAAGCUUAUCUAGUUUACACGUAACAACUUGUAGAACAUUACACAAUUGAUGUUUGCUAAUAACUUCUAGAAAGCUAAAACACUUGACAUGUAAAAAGAAUUUGAUGAGUCAUGACCUAGUAAAUCAAGUUACAUUACUAGUCUCAUCUAUCUUAACAGGUCACACAAGAUUACAAACUAAGUUCUGCGCAAGCAAUGCUUAUCUAGUUUACACAUAACAACUUGCAAAACAUUACAAAUUUAGUUUCAAAAAAUUAGGCAAUCUAGAUUAGUGUUUGAGUUGUAAAUUGAAUAAGAUGAGUCAUGUGUGUUAUCACAACUUUUUGGUGGUGGAAUGAUAGUGCCACCAAACGCAACAUACCAAAUUAUGAUUUUAGGAAGCAUCCAAGCACUUUCCAGACAAGCAAAUGCCAAUUGUGAAGGAGAUGAUGCCAUGGCAGCUAUAAAUAGGCCUGUAGCAUGAUGAUCAUCCUUCCUCAUCCAUCAUUCUCAUAAGUAGAGUGCAUCAUUCAAGCCAAGCAAGGAGUGGUCAAUACAAAUCCACCAUGAAGACCUUUCUCAUCCUUGCCCUCCUUGCUAUCGUGGCGACCACCACCACAACUGCAGUUAGAGUUCCAGUGCCACAAUUGCAGCCACAAAAUCCAUCUCAGCAACAACCACAAGAGCAAGUUCCAUUGGUGCAACAACAACAAUUUCUAGGGCAGCAACAACAACAAUUUCCAGGGCAACAACAACCAUUUCCACCACAACAGCCAUAUCCGCAGCCGCAACCAUUUCUGCCACAACUACCAUAUCCGCAGCCGCAACCAUUUCCACCACAACAAUCAUAUCCACAACCACAACCACAAUAUCCGCAACCACAACAACCAAUUUCGCAGCAACAAGCACAACUACUACAACAACAACAACAACAACAACAACAACAACAACAACAACAACAAAUCCUUCAACAAAUUCUGCAACAACAACUGAUUCCAUGCAGGGAUGUCGUCUUGCAACAACCCAAUAUAGCACAUGCAAGCUCACAAGUAUCGCAACAAAGUUACCAACUGUUGCAACAAUUAUGUUGUCAGCAACUGUGGCAGACCCCCGAGCAGUCACGGUGCCAAGCCAUCCACAAUGUCAUUCAUGCUAUUAUUUUGCAUCAUCGUCAUCAACAACAACAACAACAACAACAACAACAACAACAACAACCGUCGAGCCAGGUCUCCUACCAGCAGCCUCAGCAACAAUAUCCAUCAGGCCAGGGCUUCUUCCAGCCAUCUCAGCAAAACCCACAGGCCCAGGGCUUUGUCCAACCUCAGCAACUGCCGCAGUUCGAGGAAAUAAGGAACCUAGCGCUGCAGACGCUACCAGCAAUGUGCAAUGUCUACAUCCCUCCAUAUUGCUCGACCACCAUUGCGCCAUUUGGCAUCAUGAGUACUAACUGAGAAGAGAAGAACUCUAUUACUAGAUAUAUGAAACACCGUUUUCUUAAAACAUGGUUUGGUCGUUGUAGCGGUGAAAAAUAAAGUGACAUGCACUAUCAUGUAAGAACCCGAACUAGACUAUUUCAAACUUGGAAAUAAAAGACAAACACAGGUCUUGUCUGCAUAUGAUUGUUUGUUUGAGUUCCAUUCAUGUGCCCGUUCACAAGUUCACCCCUAAUUAUAUAUAUUAAGCAUUAGUUAGAUGUUUAUGUGCAUUAAUCUAAAGAUAACAAAAUGAAUCUGAAACUUGAAUUUAAUUAAAGUAUUUUCUUGGACUUUCAAAUUGAGCAUUGAUAGUGAGGACUAUCCACAUCCUUGGCUUGCCCUUGAUCAAUUAUUUCCAAAGAAGCAUUCAAUUCAUCAGUCACUUACAUUGAUUUUUGUGGCUUGUACUUCUCCUCAACAUGAGUAUCUUCAUUGCAGCUACUCCAAAUCUGCCACAUAACUGAAGCAUUAAUAGUGCUCUUCCUUGCAUCAAGGAAAUAUGGAUCGAAGAUAUCUCUUGACCAUGUUUUCGGGUGCAACCUUGGGAGUUUUAUGUCAAAAUAUUCUCAAGAAGAAUCCAAGAAUAAACUUGCAUGCUCACGUGUGAAAAGGGCAUAUGAAGUAACAUUUCCUCACCAAGGCCACACAUAGGGCACACACAUAACCCCAUCACAUGCCUUUUUAGUUAUGCAUAUGAAGGUAGGAUGUUUUUAAUUACUCUGCACCAAAAUACUCUUAACUUGGAUUGUACCCUAAGCUUUCGUUGCCUUUUACAUUUUUCUUCCCCAUUAGAUGAACUAGAUAGUCCAGCUACCACACGAUACCUUGUGUUCAUCUCGGCUCUGUACAACAAUUGAACAGAAGAAAUGUCAUUUCUUUACCAUACCCAUGACCAAAUGUUCUCUGCUACUCCCUCCGUCCCAAAAUACUGCCAUCCAUGUCGACAACAAUGAGUCAUAUAGGACCGCUAUGCCUCUGUUGAAGGAGGUGGUGGAGCGAUCCGGAGAUUAUUCUGCCAUCCAUGUUGAGUAAAACCUCACUGGCCACUUGCUCCAACCGCAUACACACCGCCAUAAACAACGGUUGGUACUCAGUUCGGUGUAGCAUACACCAUGUAGGAAGCGAGUGCUUACUCCUAGCUACUGAAUUAUGUACACCAAAUAAACCCAUUUACACGAAGUUAAUGACAAAAAAGUUGAUGCUUGCUACGCAGAUGUGUAGUACAAAUUAAGAAGUGCAAGAUAAAAAGAUGCUGGUCCUUGAUUCGUUGUUGAUCCUGAGCAUGCCAUCAUCAACUUGUAGUUAAUUAUCAUACAAAUUGGCUCUUUCAUAGAGUUGGAGGCUAGCUCCUUGGAUCAGCACGCGCUUAAACACAAAGAACACGUAUAUGUAUUCUCUCCGAAGUUCAACUCUUGAUUGGCCAGCAAAAAUGGUCCGACCGGGUAGAGGAAAGGCAUGUUUGCUAGUACGCCUGGAGGAAAUGCCUUUGAUUAGGGCAUCUCCAACGGCGACCAGUAAAUUUUCUCCCAUAUUUGUCCACGGACAAGGGAUCAGUCCGUGGAUAUGGAUAUAGAAAUCGGCCAUCCAACGUUGUCCGCAUAUAUUUCGAACACUUCUUUUAAAAAAUCGAAUGAAAUUCAUGCAAACACAGUGGAUUCCAUACAAACCGGACAAAAACGUUUACAUUUUGGACAUAUUUUUAACUAAAAACUCUACAGCCGGCACCGGCGACGACGAAUAUCCUCCGGCGACAUGGAUACCCUUGACUAGUCUACUGCCGGCUGCAGCGGAUCUCCAAUGUCAUCCCCAUGUCCGGCAGCUGUGAGCCCUAGGUAUAUGCUUCAACGCAAAGAGCAGCUCGCCUCCCUACCACUCAUCGGAGUGGAACAACCAACUGAUGCUUCUGCCAAUGGGAAAGGGUUCCUACGCUACAUAGGUCAGAGUUGGUUUUGGGUUGGGAACGGUGGUGGCCUGCCAGAGGGCAAGACACCGGCUGUGUACGCUGGUGUCACCUCAAUAUGGCAUUCAUGGGACCCAAGCGACAGCUUCUCCUCGACUAUUGUGGCGAGCACAGACGUGUUGGACACCACCUCGUCGAUGUCCAUGCAGCCCGCUUCUUUCUCUGUAGUCAGGACGCGGUGACACGCGCUUUGACAUAGGAUGACGCGCUCACAGGCACGGGAGGGGCGGUACAACAUGGCACCAUCAAUGGCAGCCAUGAUGCCCGUGCCACUGUGGUCCCUCUCAGUGUCGACCUGGAGCAACUCGCCACUCCUCGGCUCGUGACCGGCGGGGUUGACGGGCCACCUAGCUAUUGUUUAUGCGAGACAACUCUUUUUCCUGCUCAUCAGAUGCCAAUAAGGAAGGAGGCCUGAUUGAUUUCUAACUGGAACACGCACAACUAACCUGAUGCCAACUAAUCAGAUGCCAAUAAGGAAGGAGGCCUCAACUUAGCUAUAGGAGGUGAAGGCAAGGGGAGCUGGUGUGCUGGGAGGGAGACUCCUGGAGCUAGGGAGCACGCCGACGCCAUUGCUCAAGGUGCAAGUUUGUUUCAAUCUUCAAUCCUGCUCGCUGUUGAUUCUGGUUACAGUAAAUUUUAGCUAGAUAUGGUGUAACCUAAGUGUUAUGCCUAGUCUUAAUCUAUCUAUCUAUCCAAUCUUCUAUUCGGCGAGGUGGCUGCGCCUGUGGCAGAUGUGGCCGCUGCCAUGGCCGGCGCUAGACCUAGUCGAUCUCCCUCUUCUGUAUUUGAGAAAAAAAAAUCUCCCUCUUCUCUUCUGAUGAGAAGGGGAAGAGAUGGUGAGAGAUGAAGUCGACGGCUUUGGGGAGAGGAUACGGGAGGACGCCGGUAGUGAGGCGGCAUGAGGAAGACAAGGUGGUUGGCAGCGGCAAUGCGUGAGGGGAGGGCAAGGGAGGUGUAGUGGUGCAUGUUGAGGAGUGGGUGUGCAGCGUGCCCAGUUCUCGAGGGAGUAAAGAGGUCGUCAAGGGAGUGAUCCAUGGGAGUUUUUUUUCCUUCUGAGCGAGCCUAGUUGGGCUCUCUGCGGCGUCUAGGCCCAAUGCACCACAUGUCUUCAAAUUGGCCACCAGUAGCAGCCCAUAGAACAGACAGGGCCAGUUUACAAAUUUUAAAACAUAAGUUUUUUAGCGCCCAUGAAAAACAGAACACAUAUCUUUCCAAACAUAAUGAACUAUAGGUACCACCAAAAAAACCAUAAUGAACUUUAGGUUGUUACAAGAACUCAUGCCUUCCAACAGCCUCCCUCCAACCCUGCCAACAUUGUAGCAGCUGCACUCGCAAGCGUUACCAUAGGUGAUCAUUUGCAUGAUUUCGCGUAAAACAAAAUAAGAUCUACAAACGAAUAGAAGCUACACAUACCUUGGCAUGCACACACAUUGCAAGCCAUACUAAGGUGAUAAGUGUUAAUAACUUGUACAACAUAUACAACACUUAAGAUAAGUAAAAGCAAUUUGAUGAGUCAUGGUCUAUCAAAGCAAGAUGCAUUACUACUCUAAUCUAUCUUAACAGGUCACACAUGAUUACAAUCCUUGUUGUGUGCAAGUCAAGCUUAUCUAGUUUACACGUAACAACUUGUAGAACAUUACACAAUUGAUGUUUGCUAAUAACUUCUAGAAAGCUACAACACUUGACAUGUAAAAAGAAUUUGAUGAGUCAUGACCUACUAAAGCAAGUUACAUUACUAGUCUCAUCUAUCUUAACAGGUCACACAAGAUUACAAACUAAGUUCUGCGCAAGCAAUGCUUAUCUAGUUUACACAUAACAACUUGCAAAACAUUACAAACUUAGUUUCAAAAAAUUAGGCAAUCUAGAUUAGUGUUUGAGUUGUAAAGUGAAUAAGAUGAGUCAUGUGUGUUAUCACAACUUUUUGGUAGUGGAAUGAUAGUGCCACCAAACACAACAUACCAAAUUAUGAUUUUAGGAAGCAUCCAAGCACUUUCCAGACAAGAAAAUGCUAAUUGUGAAGGAGAUGAUGCCAUGUCAGCUAUAAAUAGGCCUGUAGCAUGAUGAUCAUCCUUCCCCAUCCAUCAUUCCCAUAAGUAGAGUGCAUCGUUCAAGCCAAGCAAGCAGUGGUCAAUACAAAUCCACCAUGAAGACCUUUCUCAUCCUUGCCCUCCUUGCUAUCGUGGCGAUUGAGGGAGUCCUGGAUAAGGGGUAUCUGGACAGCCGGACUAUAUUCAUCGUCCGGACUAUAGAAGCGUCAAGACACAAGACUCAAGACUUCGGCUCGUGUCCGGAUGGGACUCUCCUUUGCGUGGAAAACAAGCUUGGCGACCCGGAUAUUAUGUUUCCUUCCUUGUAACCGAGUCCAUGUAAACCCUAGCUCUCCGGUGUCUAUAUAAACCGGAGAGCAUGGUCCUUACAAGGCCGACCACAAUUACAAUCAUACCAUCAUAGGCUAGCUCUUAGGGUUUAGCCUCUACAAUCUCGUGGUAGAUCUACUCUCGUAUUCCACAUAUCUUCAAUAUCAAUCAAGCAGGAAGUAAGGUUUUACCUCCAUCGAGAGGGCCCGAACCUGGGUAAACAUUGUGUCCCUUGCUUCCUGUUACCAUCAUCCUAAGACGCACAGAUUGGGACCCCCUACCCGAGAUCCGCCGGUUUUGACACCGACGUUGGUGCUUCCAUUGAGAGUUCCUCUGUGUCAUCGCUUCGAGGCUUGAUGGCGUCUUCAAUCGUCAACAACACGGUCCAGGGUGAGACUUUUCUCCCCGGACAGAUCUUUAUGUUCGGCGGCUUCGCACUGCGGGCCAAUUCAUUUGGCCAGUUGGAGCAGAUCGACAGCCUCGCCCCUGGCCACCAGAUCAGGUUUGGAAACUUGAACUACACGACAGAUAUCCGCGGAUACUUGAUCUUCGACGGAUUCGGGCCUGCGCCAGGAGUGCCGGAUAGCCACGACGAGCACGGCCUAGACCUGCUGUCGGAUAGUGCCCGGGACAUUAUCCCCGAAGCAGCCUUGGAUCUAAAUUCAGGACAGGUUGCGGCGCCUAUGGACGGAGGGCUGGACCCCGCUCCGCAGGCCGCACGCUUAUCGGCGGUGGAGCCGAACACUGGCCCCCCCUGUAACCCCGGACCCCCGGACUCAUAUCCGGAUGUUGGUCCUGGUCCGCUCACUCUCGAGCCAGCCGAGCCAGGUUGGGCUCCGGUAAUGGAGUUUACCGCUGCGGACAUCUUUCAGCACUCGCCCUUUGGCGACAUGCUGAGCUCAUUGAAGUCUCUCUCUUGGUCAGGAGACUCUGGGGCGAACUAUGUCCGACCCGAGUGGGAAGCAUGCGAUGAAGGAAUUCGGCGCCCACCCACCACCCACUUCAUUGCCACGAUCAAAGAAUUAGCCGACGUGCUCAACUCCGGAGACAUCGAUGGUAUGGACGACGAUGCAGGAGAGGCUCCAGAACACCUGGAGCGCGGGACUACUACCUUGUCACACGACAUAUACAUGGUAGAUACGCCCAAUAAGGACGGCAACCCGAACGAUAAAACACCCGGGCAAAAGCCAAAGAGGCGGUGCAGACGCCGCUCAAAGUCUAGCAAUGGCAAAAAUAGAGACAAGAGCGCAAGAAGGGUUGAUAUACCCGCAAACUCUGAAAGCAAUAAUGACCACAUGGACCCAACGAUGGAGCAGGACGAGCCAGGUCACACCAAAUAAAGUUCGGAGAAAAUACCCGAUCACAACGAUCCGGAGGGACGAGCUCAUGAUGCCACCCCAGAACAGGAAGACAAUCUGGACAACGAUGCAUUCAUCAUCCCGGACGAACAAGUGGAACGAGACAACCUCCACAGAAAGCUUAUGGCCACCGCAAGAAGUCUAGAAAAGCAGAAGCAACGGCUCAAGGCUGCACGGGAAAAGCUAAGUCGCAGAUGGAACAGGGUGCUAGACACCGAAGAAAGAUAUGGCGAUGACCGUCAUACGAAAAGCUAUCCGAAGCGCAAGCUGCUGCCAGAAUUCGACGAUGCGGCCGUUCCGCCAAAAGAAAAUUCGACCAAGAAACCAGACGUACCGCCUCACAACCAUAAUAGAGCGGCCGUGGACACUGCGCACGAUCCACGCGGGCAUCCGAAUAAAAAGACCGGUGCAGCCAGGUCCAUAUAUGGAUCUAGAAGACACACCCCAACGCAGAACUAUGGUCACCCAAACAUUCAUAAAAGCCAGAUACCAGUUCGGAAUCAACCCCGGACACAACAACAGCCAACUACAUGCCACAACGCGUCCAGAUACAGAGGGGCUGCUUACCACCUGUGCUUCACCGAAGAAGUACUGGACCAUGAAUUCCCACAAGGAUUUAAACCUGUGAACAUAGAAGCAUACGCCGGCACGACAUACCCAGGGGUCUGGAUCGAGGAUUUUAUCCUACAUAUUCACAUGUCUCAUGGGGAUGACCUCCACGCCAUCAAAUACCUUCCCCUCAACUUGAAGGGACCAGCUAGACACUGGUUGGAAAGCCUCCCCGAAAACUCAAUUGGGAGUUGGGAGGUGAAAGGAUCGAUAUAGUUGGGGGGGGGGGUGAAUAGGAAACUAACAAUUUUUAAGCUUUUCUUUACCAAUUUAAACUUUGCAUCAAAAUAGGCUGUCUAGAUAUGCAACUAUGUGAGCAACCUAUAUGAUGGAAUAACAACUAGCACAUAAGCAAGCAAUGGAUACAACACAAGUAAGCUUGCAAAAGUAAAGGCAUGAAAUAACCAAGAGUGGAGCCGGUGGAGACGAGGAUGUGUUACCGUAGUUCCUUCCUUUUAAGGGGAGGUACGUCUCCAUUAGAGCGGUGAGGAGGCACAAUGCUCCCCAAGAAGCCACUAGGGCCACCGUAAUCUCCUCAUGCCCUCACACAAUGCGAGAUGCCGUGAUUCCACUAUUGGUGCCCUUGAAGGCGGCGACCGAACCUUUACAAACAAGGUUGGGGCAAUCUCCACAACUUAAUUGGAGGCUCCCAACGACAGCAUGAAGCUUCACCACAAUGGACUAUGGCUCCGAGGUGACCUCAACCGUCUAGGGUGCUCCAACACCCAAGAGUAACAAGAUCCGCUAGGGAUUAGUGGGGGGAAUCGAAUAUCUCUUGGUGGAAGUGUAGAUCGGGGCCUUGUCACCCAAUCCCGAGCAAAUCAACAAGUUUGAUUGGCUAGGGAGAGAGAUCGGCCGAAAAUGGAGCUUGGAGCAACAAUGGAGCUUAGGGAUGGAAGAGGUGGUCAACUAGAGGUAGGAGACACACCUUUUAUAGUGGAGGACAACAUCCAACCGUUAUCCACUUAGACCAGCCUGCGACAUGUGGUACUACUGCUCCAGGAGCGCGGUAUUAUCGCAAGGCCAUGCGGUACUACCGUGGGAGACCACGGUACUACCGUGGCAGCUACAGAGAUUAUAAGACAAGCAGUACUACCGCGAGCGCGGUACUACCGCUCCCACCUGCGGUACUACCGCGAGGCAGGUAAGUCCUAGUCUGGAAACGGCACGGAUGAAUAAAAAUACAUCCGUGCCUACUUCCGUGGUCAAAGAGACGAUGCAAACAUCCGUCACGGUACUACCGUGCACAAGGCGCGGUACUACCGUGUGUGCGCAGAUGUAAAAAAUUACAUCCGCCCCUACUACCGUGAAGCAACGGCACUAGGCCAGGGAACCACGGUACUACAGCUCGGGGGGAGCGGUACUACCGUGGGCACCCACGGUACUACCGCCCUCAACGUGUGGUACUACCGUGUGGGCGCGGAUGUAAAAAUUUACAUCCGCGCCUACUACCGCGAGGCAGCGAUACUUGGCCAGGGAGCGACGGUACUACGACUCCGAAUGAGCGGUACUACCGUGGGCUCCCGUGAUACUACCGCACAUGGGCACGGUACUACCGCAAGUGCUUGCGGUACUACCGCUCCAGGGAGCAGUACUACCGCAAGCUCAGCAACAGUAGUCCAGACACUCACAUAGAGGAUAGAUGGGGAAUGCUCCAAAGUGCAAGGGAAAGGAGGAGACAAGGAAGGAAACGUGUACGUGAUGAUUCCACCCGAACCUUUCUGACGUGGACCCCCUCUUAAUAGUACGGCUCUCCAACGACUCAAAUCCACCAAAAAGAAACAUAGAAAUACGCCGUCUUCAAUAGUCUUCGAGGGGCACCGAACCGUCUUGUGCCUAGCGAUGAAGCAACUGAGAAACUCAAGGCACACGAUUAGUCCGCUAAAGCAUUGUCAUCAAUCACCAAAACACUUAGGGAUAAAAAUGCCCUUACAAUAUCCCCCUUUUUGGUGGAUGACAAUACGGGAUUUUCACAAGGGAAAAAAUAAUGAGCAUAGGCAAACCCCUCCUCUCUAAAAUGUAGACGGGCUCCCCCUAGAUGUGUGCAAUCUAGAUGGAUGCUUUGGACUGCACAACACACUAGCUAGGAUUAACACUCCCCCUAUAUUUUAGAGACAAGGCAUGUAAGACUAACAAUCUAAGUAAGUGCAUAAACAAAGGUAGCACAAUAUAACACUAGCUCACUAAGAUAGGUAGAGUGCAUAUGUCUUACACCAUAUGAGGGACAAACUAAACCAAAUCAACCGAAACAACCGAAACGAGGUUCAAAUGAGACACGCAAACACACGAAACACGACACACGACUCACAAAUCCCUACACUCUCUCCUCCUUUGGCAUCGAGACGCCAAAAAGGCAGAGAGGACACCUACACACAAGUGGUGGCUCAAGCAGAGAAAUCAUCCCAAUGAUCCUCUUCAGACCCGGCAGCAAGAAUGGUCUCCUCGACGUCCUCCUUAGAAUCAGUCCACUUGUAGCCUUGUUUCUCCAUCCACUCAACCUCUGGAGUAAUGUGAUCCUCAGACCCACCAGACACGUCCUCUCCAUACAGCUUCAGAAUCUUCUUGUCAUGGCGACGACUCUCCUUGGAUGCCACGUGAGUCCUGUACUGCCCCUUAGCUUGUAUGCAUAAAAGAGUCUUCAUCUUGUCCUUCAGCUUCUUGGCCCACAAGGGCAUAGAGGAACUAUGGGAAGACCCAGCAGCACGGUUAGCAGCAACAUCCUCUGCUUCAGCCUCAUCCUCAUCAACAACCCUCUUAGCAGUAGUCGCCUCAGCACGAGUAGUAGUGUUGGCCCAUUUGGACUUGACACGGAGACUGAUGGGAUCAUGCCGAAUCCAGUCAGGAGCAAGGAACUCAUCACCAGGGUACUGCUUCGCCCAAGUCUUGGAGAUCAACAGAAACAUGUAUGGUCCAUAGAUAGGCACCUUGCUGUUGAACACCGCAAACCGAAGCUCACACCACAUGAUGUGUGUGACAUCAAGUGGCUGAGUCUGAGAUACGCGAGCCUCCUCGCAGAGGAGCAUCAUAUCCACCAUAUAGGCAUGGACCUUGUCCUUGUCACCAAUGCGAGGGAACAGAGAGUUGCGGAAGAUGCGAUACAUGAUAUCCAGAAAAGAGUUGAGCAUCCACGUUGACUUGCUAUUGGCAAGCACCUUCUCAACAUAGAACGGCUGAAGCUUGUCCUUGUUCGCAGACUCAGAAUUGGCAUGGGGGCGAACACCCACUGGUGAGUUGAGCCCGUCAUCAGGAACCUGGAGCAGAUCCAUGAACUCCUUCCAGGUAGCAGUCAACUGACGACCAUUGGUCGUCCAGGUCAUCCUCCGCUCCUCCCCAGGGUGAAAGAACACUGAGGCAAAGAACUGACAAAUAAGCUCAGGGUCAUAGUCAAGAUGGAAAGAGAUCACAUGCUCAAUAUCAAACUGCUCCACCAAAUCCAGAGCUUCUCCAAAGUACUCACGAUACAUAUCCUUCCUCAGGUGAUGCAUGUCUAUCCACCUGACAUCCACAUAGGUAUUUUGCUUGUUCUUGAUGACAUCCAGAUAGGUGAGAGUCUGCUGCUUGUUCGAAAACAACUCACAGCCUCUAACGGUAGCACGAGGAAUCACAUACGGGUUGAGCUGCCUGAGACGGAUGUACUCAGAUUGGGGUAUCUCGUCCAUGCCCUUAGCGGGUUCCUUGUGCUUGCUAGCGGUGGCCUUGACAUGGCGCUUGGGGGCAGAGGAGGAGCCCUCUGGUGCAUCACUUGGAUUGCACAGACGCUUGGAGCCAGUGUCACGACUGGGAUUGGAACGACGAGAGCCACCACCUGAGACACAAAAUGCAAAACACCCACGACAGGCAAAAAGGAUCAAUGCAAAGACCACGGCAAAGCACAAGAACCACAUAGGAAGUAUACGUGAAAGUUUCCAUGAGAUAGAUGGGAUCCACGGUAGUACUGCCGGAUGCGGUGGUACUAAAAUUUUAGUACCGCUCCAAGUCGCAGUAGUACCGGGGUGGGAGCGGUAGUAAAAUUUUAGUGUCGUAGCGUGCACGGUAGUACCGCGCCUGACGGGCGGUAGUACCAGACAAGCGGUAGUACCGCAUAGGUGGCGCGGUAGUACUGCACCGCGUCAGAUCCAAACCAAAGUUUGAAUCUGAGAAGAACCGCGAAACCACGGCGGUACUACGGUUGAUCAAAUCUAGCACAGGACAAAAAGACAAGUAUAAUCCCUACACGAUACUACUCUCCUACAGCCUACUCUUGCAUAGAUUUAGCCUAAAAUCUCAAGAACACACAAGUCUUCCCCACAAACCUAGAGGCAAAGAAAACAACAAAAGCGAGAGGGAGUUGGGAAAAGACCCUUGCCCAUGGCAAGAGCACGUGGUGGGGAAUGAUCCCACCGAACGGAAUCGCAGGAGAGCAGCCGGAGGCGGAGAUCCGGCGAAGGACCCCGGCCCCGUUCUUGAGCGAGGGAGAGAGAGACGAAGUGGGAAACUGAUGAAUGGGUAUGGGGGAGUUGGAACUCCCCCUCCCCAUCCUUAUCCCCACGCGUCAAAGAUGUCGCGGUAGUACCGCACAUCAUCACGGUAGUACCGCUUGGGUGGAACUACCGCACCGAAGCAGUAGUACCGCUCUCCCAGGCGGUAGUAAAAAAUUACUGCCGCGUGGGGCGGUAGUACCGAGAUCUCCACACGCGUAGUACCGUAGCAUGCUGCGGUAGUACCGUGAGCUCAAGAAAAAGCAGGUUUCAACACAAAAGAGGUCUUUGCAAGGAAACUUUUAGCACAAGAGACACCACAAGAACACGCACAACCCAAAGGCAGAAAGACAACAAGAAGCAACCACGCAACACACCCUCUCAAAAAGCGAGGGCGGUGGCCGGAGCCACCUAUGUUUGAGUCAGUUUGUAUGGCACCGCAAAGAAUUAUCCUUGGGCCCAUGACCGAAACUCAUCUUUGAAGCACAAGUUCCAUAAAAAAUGGUUAAUGUGACAGAGUUGAUCGAUUUAUGCAUAAUGGGGGAGGGAGGGUUCAUUGAGAGAACGGUACUCCCCCUAUGUCCAUGCCCACACCUAAACUAGACAACAAGUUGAGUGAGGUGGGGUGUGCACAGGCUCAAGUCACAUUGCUCGAACCAAUGAUAUUUAGCUCAUGCCUUAACUCGCGAAAUCGUGCUUCAUCAAAGGGCUUCGUGAAAAUAUCUGCAAGGUUAUCAUGAGUGUUGACAUACUUGAGCUUGAUCUCCCCUCGCCUACUGUGAUCCCGGAUGAAGUGAUACCGAAUCUCAAUAUGCUUCGUCUUGAAAUGUUGCACCGGGUUGAGAGAAAUCUUGAUGGCACUUUCAUUGUCACACCAAAGAGGCACUUUGUCACAAAUGACACCAUAUUCCUUUAAAGUUUGCCUCAUCCAUAAGAGUUGUGCACAACAACUACCGGCCGCCACAUAUUCCGCUUCGGUGGACGAGAGAGACAAACAACUUUGCUUCUUGGAAGACCAACUCACCAAAGAGCAACCAAGAAAUUGGCACCCUCCAGAAGUGGACUUCCUAUCCACCUUGUCUCCCGCCCAAUCGGAAUCCGUAAAUCAUUCAAGCUUGAAGUUAGCUCCUCUUGGGUACCAUAGGCCAAAGUUUGGGGUAUGAGCCAAAUAUCGAAAGAUUCGCUUGACCGCCACAAAGUGGCUUUCCUUUGGUGCGGCUUGAAACGGUGCACACAUUCCCACACUCAACAUGAUAUCUGGUGAUGCACAAAGGUAAAGCAAGGAUCCAAUCAUAGAGUGAUAUACCUUUUGAUUCACCGCUUUACCAUUGGGAUCAAUGUCAAGUUGGCACUUGGUGAGCAUUGGAGUAGAGGCCGGAUUGACAUCACUUAGCUUGAAUCUCUUAAGCAUGUCUUGAGUGUAUUUGGCUUGGUUGAUGAAGGUACCUUCUCUUUUUUGUUUGAUAUCAAAACCAAGGAAGAACUUUAACUCUCCCAUCGAAGACAUCUUGAACUCAGAGGUCAUGAGAGCGGCAAAUUCUUCAUUGAAAGCAUUGUUAGGGGAACCAAAGAUAAUGUCAUCAACAUAUAGUUGGCACACAAACAACUCCCCUUUUACCUUCUUAGUAAAAAUAGUGGGACCGAUUUGCCCAACUUCAAAUCCACGAUCUUGUAACAACUCGGUAAGGUGGUCAUACCACGCACAUGGGGCUUGUUUAAGGCCAUAGAGUGCCUUAUCGAGUUGAUACACAUGAUCCGGGAAGUAAGGAUCCUCGAACCCGGGGGGUUGCUUGACAUAAACCAACUCAUUAAUAGGACCAUUAAGAAAAGCACUUUUCACAUCCAUUUGUUGUAACUUAAAGUUGUGAUGGGAAUCAUAAGCAAUCAACAAACAAAUGGAUUCAAGGCGAGCAACAGGAGCAAAGGUUUCACCGUAGUCGAUACCGUCGACUUGGGAGUAGCCUUGUGCUACCAAUCUUGCCUUGUUGCGAAUGAUGUUCCCAUGAGCGUCUUGCUUGUUCUUGAAAAUCCACUUGGUUCCAAUGACAUUAUGGUUCCCCGACGGCCGUGGCACCAAUCUCCACACCUUGUUGUACUCGAAGUUGUUAAGUUCUUCAUGCAUGGCAUUGAGCCAAUCUGAAUCUUCGAGCGUCUCAUAGACCUUUUGGGGUUCAACACAAGAGACAAACGCGUGAUGUUCACAAUAGUUUGCUAAUUGUCUACGAGUGCUUACCCCCUUUCUUAGGCUUCCAACCACAUUCUCCAUAAGAUGGCCUUUGGUGGUGAGCUUGGAAGCAAUCUUUGCGGCACAACGCUCUAGUUCCUCCUCGGAUGUGGAGGAAGGAGGAUCAACUUGAUUAUCUUGAGCGCCGUCUUGAGCUUGUUCGAGAUCUUGAUCUUGCUCUUGAUCUUGAACUUGCUCAAGGGGGAAAACUUGACCUUGGGCAUCAUUUGGUGGAUCACCACCAUCUUGAGUUUGAUCUUGCCCUUGGUCUUGUUUAUGAGGUUGCGAGCCUUCACUUUGUUGUUCGGAAGCAUGUGGGUCUUGGGGAGGUGAUGGCUCCACUUGAGUGGAGCAUUGUCCUUCUCCUUCGGCCACAAGGGGUUCCUCAAUGGGUAGAAUAUGACCAAUACCCAUUCUUCUUAUGGCUUGGGGAGGAAUUUCAUCACCUACAUCACAAGUACCACUUUGCUCCACUUGGGAGCCGUUAUUUUCGUCAAACUCCACGUUACACGUCGCCUCAAUGAGUCCGGUGGACUUGUUGAGAACACGGUAAGCAUGAGAGUUUGUAGCAUAACCAACAAAUAUGCCCUCAUAAGCUCUAGCCUCAAAUUUAUACAAACGGACACCCUUUUUGAGAAUGAAACACUUACACCCGAACACCCGGAAGUACUUGAGAUUGGGCUUGUUACCGGCGAGGAUUUCAUAAGGAGUCUUGUUCAAGCCUUUGCGGAGAUAGAGCCGAUUUGAUGCAUGACACGCGGUGUUGAUGGCUUCGGCCCAAAAGUUGUAUGGAGACUUGAACUCCGCCAUCAUGGUCCUUGCCGCAUCCAUCAACUUCCGGUUCUUCCUCUCCGCAACACCAUUUUGUUGAGGGGUGUAUGGAGCUGAAUAUUGAUGCUUGAUCCCCUCAUCACUAAGGAGCUCGUCCAAGGUGUAGUUCUUGAACUCGGUGCCGUUGUCACUUCUUAUUGUCAAGAUCUUUGCAUCAUGUUGUCAUUGAGCUUCAUUUGCAAAGUCGAUGACGGUUUGUUGGGUUUCACUCUUCCUCUUGAAGAAAUAUACCCAAGUAUAUCUUGAAUAAUCAUCCACAAUCACCAAGCAAUACUUUAUUCCCCCAAGACUAUCAAAGGAUGGAGGCACAAAGAGGUCCAUGUGAAGGAGCUCCAAGGGUCUCUUCGAGUAGAUGAUAGUCGUGGGAGGGUGAGCCGUCUCAUGAAGCUUUCCUUCGAUACAAGCACUGCAAGCAUGAUCUUUGGCAAAACUAACAUUUUUUAGUCCACGGACAUGGUCCCCCUUGAGAAGACUUUGCAAAGAUCUCAUAUUGACGUGGGCUAAACGGAAAUGCCAAAGCCAUCCCACAUCAACUUUAGCCAUUAGGCAUGUCGCGGUCUUAGUGGGUCGCUCCGAAAAGUUAAUCACAUAGAGACCGUUCUCGACAUGCCCAACAAAGGCUACUUUAAGAGUCUUGCUCCACAAUAGGGCCACGGUAUCAACAUCAAAGAAGGUGGCAAAGCCCAUGAGUGCGAGUUGACGAACGGAAAGUAAAUUGUAUGCAAGGGACUCAACAAGCAUGACUUUCUUGAUCGUUAGAUCAUGAGAAAUGACAACCUUGCCAAGACCCAAUACCUUAGAAUGUGAGGCAUCACCCCACUCGACAUUUUUGGGCAUAGAUGGGAUCUUUUGCACGUCCACCACCAAGUCCUUGCUCCUGGUCAUAUGAUUUGUUGCUCCACUAUCGAGCAACCAUGAUCCCCCACCAGAAGCAAACACCUACAAGAGAUCAAUGCUUGGUUUAAGGUACCCAUUGAGUAAUGGGUCCUUUGAUGUUAGUAACAAGGGUCUUAGGAACCCAAAUAUACCAUUCAAUGUACUCAUAAGAAGAACCAACAAAUUUAGCAUAAACAUGCCCAUCACUAGCACGGCACAACACAUAAGAAGGGUUAAAGUCGCCGACUUUGUUGGGAGAGGUGACUUUGCCCUUUUUGGCAUCACCACUCUUUGCAGUGUUCUUCUUCUCCUUAGGAGUACCCUCUCCCUCCUUCACAAAAGUUUUCUUAAGCGGGGGAGGUCGUUUGAUCUUGUCAUUCUUCUUCUGGUUCUUCUUCUUGUUCUUGGACUUGGGUGAGAACCCACCUCCCUCCUUUGCCACAACUUCAUUUUGAUUGCUCAAAAGGUCAUUUAGGUUCUUCUCACCUUGUAUGCAUGACACAAGGACUCUCUCGAGUUGUUCCUUCAACUUGGCAUUCUCCUCCACAAGAUGCACAUGCUCACAACACGGGUCAGUAGCAUUUGCGUUAUCAAUUAAGAUUAAGUGAGGAAAGGUGGCCUUCUCCUUGGUUAGCUUAACUUGGAGUUGAGCAUGAGACUUCUUGAGGUUAGUAUGAGCACCCUUCAAGACCUUGUGGGCCUUGUCAAGCACAUCAAACUCCUCCUUGACUCUAGCAUGAUCAACCCCAAGUUUAGCCUUCUUGGAAGUCAGCACACGAGACACAACAAGAGCAUGAUCGAGAUCUUCCUUUAACUUGGCAUGGUCAUCGUUUUGUGACUCCUCAAGAGCCAAACGAUGCCCACACUCUUCCUCAAGAGCAUUAGAGAGAUCCGAUAUCUCAUCGACAUAGUCAUGACUAUGACCUUCCAUCUUAGAGAUGGUUUCUUUGUGAGCCUCGAUCAUGUCAUUGGCUUCACCAAGUUGUUCCAAGAGAGCAACAAAGUGCUUCUUGGAUUUGCCCUUGAGCUUACUCAUAAAGGACUCAAAAUCAUUUACCUCCUCAUUAGACCCCUAACCAUCAUCAAUCCCAACCGUCAAACAAGGAUUAGGAAUAAUGGUGGUUUUGAUGUUGGGGGUUACCUUGUUGGUGGCUUUAGCCAUGAGGCACUUGGCGGUGAUGUUCUCGUUGGGUGAAUCGAAGAGAGACACCCGGGAGUUGUGGCAAUGGCAACGGAUGCCAUGGCCAUUGAUUCACUAUCUUCAUCAUCAUCGUCAUCCUCACGGUACUCCUCUUGAACCACCAACCCUUGAGUAGGAGUCUUCUUGGUGAAGUUGUUCUUGUUGGGGAAAGACUUGGCUUUGUCUCUCCGGAUGAGCUUGCCACCAUUGUCUUCCCGCUUCUCGUAAGGACAAUCCGCAACAAAAUGGCUCACAUUGCCACAGUUGAAACAAGUUCUAACUCGUUGCUUGCUCUUGAAGCCACUUGAGUUGUUCUUGUUGAAAUUGGGUCUUGAGUUCUUCUUGCUCCAAAAUUGCCUUGAAGCGAGAGCCAUGUGCUCGUGAUAAUCAUAUUUUGUAUCUUCGGUAUUGCUCUCCUCAUCUUCCUCUUCUUCCUCUUCUUCCACAAUAACCUUGGCCUUCAAGGCAAGGUUGGGCUUCUUUGCUCCUUGAGACCGGAGCACCGCAUUAUCGGCGGUCUUGUCCAAGAUGCUCAUUGCAACGAACUCAUCCAACACUUAACUUGAGGUCAUGGAGUGGAAGUCCGGCCUUUGACGAAUGACGGAGGACAUGGACUUGUUGUAGGGCAUCAUGGCCUUGAGAAACUUGCGUUUGAUCCAAUUGUCAUACGUGUCCUUGCUCCCAUGAUCUCGGAGCGAGACCGCAAGUUUGGUUACUCUCCGAAAGAGCUCACGAGGUUCUUCAUCUUCCUUCAUAGCAAACUCAUCGGCUUCAUCUUGCACUACUUCAUAGUUGGAGCAUUGAAUGCUCGCGCUUCCCCAAUAAAGAGACACAACGCACCGCCUCGCGUCUUUGGCCGUGGAGUAGGGUCGAAGAUGAGGGAGAUCUUUGGGGAGAAUUGCUUCUUGGUUGAUGAAGAGAGCAUUCUCAUUGAAUUGAUUAUCCACGGCUUCUUGAGGGGUGAAGUUGCUUGGGUCAUGUGGAUAGAAACCUUCUUCAAUGAUUCUCCAAAGAUUAGUAUUCACAUGCUUUAAAUGACGCUUGAAGCGAUACACCCAAGAAUCAAAAUCCUCAUUUUUCACAAUCUUAGGAGGAGGACCGACAUGAUUUAAAUGAGUAGACGGAAUCGGUCCACCAUAAGUUGGAGGUUCCACAUGGGCAAAGAUGCCGGAACCAUUUUUACCGCUUGUAGAAGGACCCUUUUCACUGUUAGCUUCCCCUUGUCGGAGGUAGCAUCCGUCACCUUGUUAGCGGGAUCACCCACUUUCAUCAGCGAGGUGGACAAUUUAAGUCCUUCUAAAAAUUUAGUAAACAUGCUUUCAACCUUGGUCCUCAUGGAGUCUUUCAAUGUGUCUAGAGCCACAUUGAAUUCCUCACGAGAGACCGAGGUUCCCCCAUCGGCCAUAGACGAGGUAGGAUUCACGCCGGAGUGCUCUUCCACAACGUCUAUGGCGUCAACCAUACUCUUCGGACGGCAAAGUCCUUAAUAAAGAGACGAAGCUCUGAUACCAAUUGAAAGGAUCAAUAUAGUUGACUAGAGGGAGGGGUGAAUAGGCAACUAACAAUUUUUAAGCUUUUCUUUACCAAUUUAAACUUUGCAUCAAAAUAGGUUGUCUAGAUAUGCAACUAUGUGAGCAACCUAUAUGAUGCAAUAACAACUAGCACAUAAGCAUGCAAUGGAUACAACACAAGUAAGCUUGCAAAAGUAAAGGCACGAAAUAACCAAGAGUGGAGCCAGUGGAGACGAGGAUGUGUUACCGAAGUUCUUUCCUUUUAAGGGGAAGUACGUCUCCGUUAGAGCGGUGUGGAGGCACAAUGCUCCCCAAGAAGCCACUAGGGCCACCGUAAUCUCCUCACGCCCUCACACAAUGCGAAAUGCCGUGAUUCCACUAUUGGUGCCCUUGAAGGCGGCGACCGAACCUUUAUAAACAAGGUUGGGGCAAUCUCCACAACUUAAUUGGAGGCUCCCAACGACAACACGAAGCUUCACCACAAUGGACUAUGGCUCCGAGGUGACCUCAACAGUCUAGGGUGCACAAACACCCAAGAGUAACAAGAUCCGUUAGGGAUUAGUGGGGGGAAUUGAAUAUCUCUUGGUGGAAGUGUAGAUCGGGGCCUUGUCACCCAAUCCCGAGCAAAUCAACAAGUUUGAUUGGCUAGGGAGAGAGAUCGGCCGAAAAUGGAGCUUGGAGCAACAAUGGAGCUUAGGGAUGGAAGAGGUGGUCAACUAGAGGUAGGAGACACACAUUUUAUAGUGGAGGACAACAUCCAACCGUUAUCCACUUAGACCAGCCUGCGACAUGCGGUACUACUGCUCCAGGAGCGCGGUACUACCGCAAGGCCACAUGGUACUACCGUGGGAGACCACGGUACUACCGCGGCAGCUGCAGAGACUAUAACACAAGCAGUAUUACCGCGAGCGUGAUACUACGCUCCCACCUGCGGUACUACCGCGAGGCAGGUAAGUCCUAGUCUGGAAAUGGCACGGAUGAAUAAAAAUACAUCCGUGCCUACUUCCGUGGUCAAAGAGACGAUGCAAACAUCCGUCACGGUACUACCGUGCACAAGGCACGGUACUACCGUGUGUGUGCGGAUGUAAAAAAUUACAUCCGCCCCUACUACCGUGAAGCAACGGCACUAGGCCACGGAACCACGGUACUACAGCUCGGGGGGAGCGAUACUACCGUGGGCACCCGCGGUACUACCGCCCUCAACGUGCGGUACUACCGUGUGGGCGCGGAUGUAAAAAAUUACAUCCGCGCCUACUACCGCGAGGCAGAGGUACUUGGCCAGGGAGCCACGGUACUACGACUCCGAAGGAGCGGUACUACCGUGGGCUCCCACGGUACUACCGCGCAUGGGCACGGUACUACAACAAGUGCCUGCGGUACUACCGCUCCAGGGAGCAGUACUACCGUAAGCUCAGCAACAGUAGUCCGGACACUCACAUAGAGGAUAUACGGGGAAUGCUCCAAAGUGCAAGGGAAAGGAGGAGACAAGGAAGGAAACGUGUACAUGAUGAUUCCACCCGAACCUUUCCGACGCGGACCCCCUCUUAAUAGUACGGCUCUCCUACGACUCAAAUCCACCAAAAAGAAACGUAGAAAAACACCAUCUUCAAUAGUCUUCGAGGGGCACCAAACUGUCUUGUGCCCAGCGAUGAAGCAACUGAGAAACUCAAGGCACACGAUUAGUCUGCUAAAGCAUUGUCAUCAAUCACCAAAACACUUAGGGAUAAAAAUGCCCUUAUAGGAGGAACUCGAAAACGCUUUCAGGGCCAAUUUUCAAGGGACUUAUGUCUGGCCUCCGGAUGCAGACGAUCUAAGUCACAUAAUCCAACAGCCCGGAGAGUCCGCCCGCAAGCUUUGGAACAGAUUCCUCACUAAGAAGAAUCAAAUUGUCGACUGUCCGGACGCUGAAGCCUUAGCGGCUUUCAAACACAGCAUCCGUGACGAAUGGCUCGCCGGCACCUCGUCCAAGAAAAGCCUGCCUUUACGGGCCAACCAGCUAUCCUCACCCGCGUAAAAGCGGGUUAUAAGGCUUGUUAAGGCUGCCAUUGUCCUGAUUCAGGGGCUCUCGACCUGGUCAGCAAAAGAAGCCAUUGAAAGGCAGUAAAGACGGAUCGUCCGGUCUGAACAGAGUCUUGGACAGACUAUGCCAAAUUCAUGGCACCCCGGAGAAACCUGCAAACCACACCCAUAGAGAGUGCUGGGUUUUCAAGCAGGCCGGCAAAUUAAAUGCCGAACACAAGAGGAGGGACACACCAAACGAAGAAGAGGAUGAACCCCACCAGCCGAACACCGGGGUACAGAAAAAAUUCCCGCUAGAGGUUAAAACAGUCAACAUGAUCCAUGCGACUCGCACAUCCACGAGAGGGCAUAAAACACUCGCCCAUAGAAGCACACGAUGUAGAGCCCGUCGUACCCACGUCUCACUACUGGAUGUCUCGUCCGAUCACAUUCGAUCACACGGAUGACCGAACUAGUAUUCGGCACGGAGGAUCACAGGCCUUGGUGCUUGACCCACUAAUCGAUGGAUACCGUCUCACCCGCGUCCUCAUGGACAGCGGCAGUGGUCCCAAUUGAAUAUACGAGGAUACUGUCCGCAGAAAGGGGAUAGACCCAUCCAGAAUUAAACAAAGCAACAUCACCUUUGAAGGGGUGAUACCAGGCGUUGCAGCCUGCGCCAGGGGCUCCGUCGUGCUAGAAGUAACAUUCGGCUCCCCAGGCAACUCCAGAAGCGAAGAGAUGCUCUUCAAUAUCGCACCCUUCCAAAGCAGCUAUCACGCAUUGCUAGGAAGAACGACCUUCGCCUGCUUCAACGCACUGCCACACUAUGGCCACCUUACACUCAAGAUGCCCGGUCCCCGUGGCGUCAUCACUGUUAGCAGAAUCAUAAAGCGCCAUUCAUGCGCAGAGGAAUAUGCGACGGCCCUGGCGGCCGGACUAUAAGCGGCCUCCAGUUUUUAGAAAACAUGAUUGGUCAUUAUGACCACAGACACGGUUAGACGAGUCCGUUAGCCCGGAUAAAUUCAAACAGGGCACUGUAUAUAUAAUCCCGUAAGGGAAACCAGGCGCUGUUUAUAUUUAAUACAGCCCCACGCUUGGCUCGACCUUAUUGGCAGGCCAAUAGUUUACACUCUUAUUAUUAAUCGCAUACUUACGAUGCAGCCUCCUGUGAGUUUUUCUUUUUUACAGACAACGUUCGCGCGAUACCCUUCCAGGAUACGGCACAAUAGAGACAAAGGCGCAGACGUGCAACAGGGCCUUGUGCAACAGGUUUCUUUUUAGAUUAAGCCCCUGUGUAAUCCUUUUCUACUGCCUCUUGUUGUUUAACCAUCCCAUGGGUUCUCUACCCACAGAGGAUACUGCCAUUUUUGGCAUUUGGCCACGGCAGACUAAAAUGCACGUACCUAGAAAUAAAGGGCUUAAAAUAGGCUCUUGUCAGCCUAUCUUCUUUUACAAAAUACCGAAUACCCUCGGGAGUGUUCAGCGUCACGAGUUUGACCAUAUAUGCAUCAGCUCCGAAUCAUGUCUUAGGUCAAAAUGUUGGGUUUGCCCGGCUCCUGGGUAGGCCGCCUUAUGUUUCGCUAUCAUCCGGCUAAGGCAGGCCAAAGGAGAACUACUGCGAUUGUGCCCUGGUUAUUCCGGAUGAGCGCCUCAGUAGAGAAAGCCGAAAACUGACCGUCAUGAUGCAGCGAGAGACUGUUCAACCACUCGAAGACUCACCGGAAUCCCUAAAGAUUCCUUCGCCUUAACGAAGGGCCGUUUUUCGGCCAUGUACACAUGCGCCCAUAUUUGGAUGCACGUAGAGGUACCAGGGGCUACAUAGUCCCCACCAUUAGACUCCCAUGGCUAAGCGAAAGUGUUACAGCUAUAUAGUCUGAUUGCCUAGUUCAGCGUGCGAUCACCUCCUUAACGGACCAAGACGUUGGAUCAAGUGUGCUUAUGCAUAUUUUUUCGCCAACACCCCCGCAUUAUCCGCGAGGGGGCUGAAGCCAACGACUGCUAUCUUUCAGACUACUUAUACAUAUAAGAAUAGCCGCAAAGGGAGGACAAUCAUACUUCCGGGCAAAAGUAUAAACAUAGCCUCAUAAUUAAACUAAACAUUGUUUUCUACAAUGAUUCGACUUAUCACUCGAAUAAAACACUCUUCGAGCACUGCGCCUCUAUCAGGCGGGCACCUUCUGUGACUUGCGCCAAGUAGUGCUCGGCCGGAUGUUGGCCUCCCGACGGAUCCUGGCUUGCUAUUACAGUGGCCUCCAUAUCCGUCCAGUAGGCUUUAACGCGGGCUAGAGCCAUCCGCGCACCUUCUAUGCACGCCGACCUUCUCAGGGCGUCAAUCCAGGACACCGCUCCAAGGAAUUGUUGCACUAAACCAAAGUAGCUGUCCGGCUUAGGCCCCUUCGGCCAAAGAUGGUCUAUUACAGACCGCAUUGCCAGUCCGGACAGCCUGUGGAUCUCCGCCAUAGCAGCCACCUUCUCAUUCAGUGGCAGCUGGCGAGUAGGAGCAUUAAACUGCGACCAGAAAAGCUUCUCCACUUCUUCAUCGCCUUGACCCUCGAAGAACUUGGCAGCGUCAGCUGUACUAUUCACCAAAUCCGCAUAUGCGUCCGCAGGACUCAUGCGACCCGCCAGGGGAGCAUACUUCGGAUCCAAGAACUUCGUCCGCAACAAGUACGAGCCCCCAGCCACGAUUUUGUCAGUUUGUUGGAGCUCCUCCCACAUACUCCGGAUCUCGGUCCGCAUCUCCUUGGCGGCAUUACUUGCCUUGUCCAGCUCGGCCGAACUAGCCUUAUUCUCCUUUUCAAGGAGUGCGUACCGGUCGGCGGCAUUUUUUAACUCUUCAGCCAUUUCGUCUAUCUUUUCCUCUCUUCGGCGAUGAGCAGCCUAUUCGGCUCUCAACUCUUCGACCGCCUUUAGGGCAGCCGCAUUGCUAGCCCGAGCUUGUUCCUUGGCUUGAGCAAGUUCCACCCUCAGGGCCUUCACGGCAGCAGCACCAUCUGCAGUGCACACGUAUUGCAUUAAUAUUAUGCCUUUUGGCAUCUUCGUAUACAUUAUAAUAAAAACCAAGCACAUACCCUGGGACUCCUCUAGCCGUUUAUUCACCAGCGUUAUAUCGGCAUCGAUUGAUCCGAUUUGCCUCCUUAGCUCGACAACUUCAACAGACUGGUCGGCUGCCGGAUCCUUGUAUACCUGCGCACAUGUACGACGCAACCAUUAGUAUAUGAUCCACCGUUUGCCGCUUAUGGCGGGCAACCAGAGUCUCAGGGGCUACUAUCUAUAGGGAGCACACCUAGCGCGUGCUUCAUAACCAAAAAGUUGUGCAUUUUUUCACUACAUACCUCAAAGCCUUUGAGUAGGCUUGUAAAUGCCUCAUUCAAGCCGCCGGUAGCGGAUGAAAUCUUCGUGAGCACCGUGCUCAUUAAAGAGUGGUGCUCCUCCGAGAGUGCGGCUCACUCUAGACGGCCCGUCAGUACGUCCGGCCGGACAUUAAAUUGCGCCGGACCCUUCUCCUCACCCCCCGUGGGAGCCAAACGCUCCGGGCUUAGGGCAGCUGACGUACUAGCCUCCGGCUUUGGCAGAUCCAGACUCCUCCGUGACGACACCUCCGUGUCGCCCGCUUCAUGAGGCGGAGAGCUGGGUGGAGUCUCGCUCUCCAUCAUCUCCGGACGAAGGUCCCCCGAAGACGAACUCUGUUGAGAAGAGCUACUCGCCGGACAACAAAAGGCGAAGUCCUGGUUAUGGAUCUCGGAGUAACGCUACACCUUCGAAUUGAUGAAUAACUUACGGCUCGGUCGAGGGCUGGCCCGUUGGUGGGCAUGACGUGGUGAGGGCGCCCGUCGCGGCAGAACCCCUUGGAGAUGUUUUCUUCCCUUGCUUGGGCGUCUCCGCCUCCAAAUCUUCGGAGGCGGCCCUUUUCCUCCCGCGUGGGGAGGAGGCUUUGACCUCCCCUUCCCGGCUAUCCUCCAUAGGAGGGGUAGCGACUUCCCCGGUCUGGAUGUGCAGCGCGUGAAGUUCAACUUCACUGCCCUUCCCUUCGCCUUUCCCUGUAGGAAUUUUGCUGAGCGCCCGAUCCAGCAUCUUUGCAAUGGUUGGACCAGGCGGGCCUUCAGGAAGUGGCGCCGGACACCUGAUUCUCUUCGCCUUGGCGAGCCAUUCCUGGCCGCGGAGGGAUUGUCAGAAUAACAGUUAUGAUAAAUAUAAAUGAAGUGUCCGGCUUUAAGGUUACUUACUUGGGCAUCUAGGCGAUUGCAGCUUAGGCCCGCAUCCUCGGUGGUGUCCGGACACUUUACUUGUGGUCCAAAGAAUAAUUUACAGAUCCCUUCGAGCUUCAGGCCGAAGAAGUGCUUAAUAGUCCACGGACCCUCCGGAUUAAACUCCCACAUCCGGAGAGGUCGACAUUUGCACGGCAACAUCCGCCGGACUAUCAUCACCUGCAUUAUGCUGACAACAUUUAUGUCCCUCUCAAUAAGCUCCCGGAUACGAUUCUGCAGUUCUGGCACAUCGCCAGCAGGCCCAUAAUUCCGUCCUUCGUCGGUCCAAGACGCUAACUGUGACGGAGGGCCCGAGCGGAACUCGGGGGCAGCUACCCACUUUGUGCCUCUGGGAGCAGUGACAUAGAACCAUCUCCGUUGCCAUACAUCAGACACUUCCGGAAAAGAACCCUCUGGCCAUGGGGCAUCGGCAUUCCUGCUUCUUAUGGCGCCUCCGCACUCCGCAUGUCACCCCUCGAUCAUCUUCGACUUCACAUUGAAGGUCUUUAGCCAUAAGCCGAAGUGUGGGUUGACGUGGAGAAAAGCUUCGCACACAAUAAUGAAAGACGAGAUAUGGAGGAUGGCGUCUGGAGCCAGAUCAUGGAAAUCCAAGCCAUAGUAGAACAUGAGCCCCCUCACAAAGGGGUCGACGGUGAGGCCUAUGCCUCGGAGGAAGUGAGGAGUAAACACGAUGCUCUCAUUGGGCUCCGGCAUGGGGAUGACUUGCCCCGGAGCAUGAAGCCUAUGCUGGAUAUCAGCAGUCAGGUAUCCGACCUCCCUAAGCUUCGCAAUAUCCUCCUCCUGAAUCGAGAAGGCCACCCACCGGCCAGCUGCGUCGGAUCCGGACAUACUGGAGGAUCUGGGGGGCUGGAGCUUAGGUUUUUUGGCGAUGGAGCUCGAGGUAUGAGAAGGAGCGGAGAGGUGGAGAUGAGGCAUAGGCCUCGACCCCUUUAUAAAAGGGAUGAAUACCAAGAGUCCUCAGCGUGGCCGCUUGAGACUUGUCUAAAACACGGAAUUAUACCAACCAUCGCCGUGGGGUCGCAUAUGCCCAUAUUGAUGAAGGAUCCCGUAUUAACAGGGACACGAUCUCUGCUUUGACAGGAUGUGCCGAUAAAACCGGCUCGCAACGCGAGUCGAGGUGGAGCAGGAAGCGCUGGUUCGUGUUGGACCAGGUCAUGAUGCAAGGGCACAAUGUACGAAGAUUGCCAGCAGAACGGAUUUAUGCUAAGGGUAUGUGAAGAUCAUCUUGUAGAUCCGGACACGACCUACGUGUUUGAUAAUCACCUUGGAGUAUUCGGAGGAGGAACCCGCCUUGCAAUGCCGAAGACAAGACUGCACGCCGGACUCAUCAUCAUUGAAGCCUGGUUCAGGGGCUACUGAGGGAGUCCUGGAUAAGGGGGUAUCCGGACAGCCGGACUAUAUUCAUCGUCCGGACUAUAGAAGCGUCAAGACACAAGACUCAAGACUUUGGCUCGUGUCCGGAUGGGGCUCUCCUUUGCGUGGAAGACAAGCUUCGCAAUCCGGAUAUUAUGUUUCCUUCCUUGUAACCAACUCCAUGUAAACCCUAGCUCUCCGGUGUCUAUAUAAACCGGAGAGCAUGGUCCUUAGAAGGCCGAUCACAAUUACAAUCAUACCAUCAUAGGCUAGCUCUUAGGGUUUAGCCUCUACGAUCUCGUGGUAGAUCUACUCUUGUAUUCCACAUAUCUUCAAUAUCAAUCAAGCAGGAAGUAGGGUUUUACCUCCAUCGAGAGCGCCCGAACCUCGGCAAACAUUGUGUCCCUUGCUUCCUGUUACCAUCAGCCUAAGACACACAGAUCGGGACCCCCUACCCGAGAUUCGCCGGUUUUGACACCGACAGCGACCACCGCCACAACUGCAGUUAGAGUUCCAGUGCCACAAUUGCAGCCACAAAAUCCAUCUCAGCAACAACCACAAGAGCAAGUUCCAUUGGUGCAACAACAACAAUUUCUAGGGCAGCAAUAACCAUUUCGACCACAACAACCAUAUCCACAGCCGCAACCAUUUCCUCCACAACUACCAUGUCCGCAGCCGCAACCAUUUCCACCACAACAAUCAUAUCCACAACCACAACCACAGUAUCCGCAACCACAACAAACAAUUUCGCAGCAACAAGCACAACAACAACAAUGACAACAACAACAACAAAUCCUUCAACAAAUUCUACAACAACAACUGAUUCCAUGCAGGGAUGUCGUGUUGCAACAACCCCGAGCUGUCACGGUGCCAAGUCAUCCACAAUGUCGUUCAUGCUAUUAUUCUCCAUCAACAACAACAACAAAAACAACAACAACAACAACAACCGUCGAGCCAGGUCUUCUACCAGCAGCCUCAGCAACAAUAUCCAUCAGGCCAGGGUUCCUUCCAGCCAUCUCAGCAAAACCCACAGGCCCAUGGCUUUGUCCAACCUCAGCAACUGCCACAGUUUGAGGAAAUAAGGAACCUAGCGCUACAGACACUACCAGCAAUGUGCAAUGUCUACAUCCCUCCAUAUUGCUCGACCACCAUUGCGCCAUUUGGCAUCGUGAGUACUAACUGAGAAGAGAAGAACUCUAGUACUAGAUAUAUGAAACACCGUUUUCUUAGACCAUGGUUUGGUCGUUGUAGCGGUGAAGAAUAAAGUGACAUGCACUAUCAUGUAAGAACCCAAACUAGACUAUUUCAAACUUGGAAAUAAAAGACAAACACAGGUCUUGUCUGCAUAUGAUUGUUUGUAUGAGUUCCAUUCAUGUGCCCGUCCACAAGUUCACCCCUAAUUAUAUAUAUUAAGCAUUAAGUAGAUGUUUAUGUGCAUUAAUCUAAAGAUAACAAAAUGAAUCUGAAACUUGAAUUAAAUUGAAGUAUUUUCUUGGACUUUCAAAUUGAGCAUCGAUAGUGAGGUCUAUCCACAUCCUUGGCUUGCCCUUGAUCAAUUUUUUCCAAAGAAGCAUUCAAUUCAUCAGUCAAUUACAUUGAUUUUUGUGGCUUGUACUUCUCCUCAACAUGAGUAUCUUCAUUACGGCUACUCCAAUUCUCCCACAUAACUGAAGCAUUAAUAGCGCUCUUCCUUGCAUCAAGGAAAUAUGGAUCGAAGAUAUAUCUUGACCAUGUUUUUGGGUGCAACCUUGGGAGUUUUAUGCCAAAAUAUUCUCAAGAAGAAUCCAAGAAUAAACUUGCAUGCUGACGUGUGAUAAGGGCAUUAGAAGUAACAUUUCCUCAGCAAGGACACACAUAGGGCACACACAUAACCCCAUCACAUGCCUUUUUAGUUAUGCAUAUGAAGGUAGGAUGUUUUUAAUUACUCUGCACCAAAGUACUCUUAACUUGGAUUGUACGUUAAGCUUUCAUUGCCUUUUCAAUUUUUCUUCCACAUUAGAUGAACUAGAUAGUCCAGCUACCACACGAUACCUUGUGUUCAUCACGGCUCUAUACAACAAUUGAACAGAAGAAAUGUCAUUUCUUUACCAUACCCAUGACCAAAUGUUCUCUGCUACUCUCUCCGUCCGAAAAUACUGCCAUCCAUGUCGACAACAAUGAGACAUAUAGGACCGCUAUGCCUCUGUCGAAGGAGGUGGUGGAGCGAUCCGGAGAUUAUGCUGCCAUCCAUGUUGAGUAAAAACCUCACUGGCCACUUGCUCCAAUCGCAUACACACCACCAUAAACAACGGUUGGUACUCAGUUCGGUGUAGCAUACACCAUGUAGGAAGCAAGUGCUUACUCCUAGUUACUGAAUUAUGUACACCAAAUAAACCCAUUUACACGUAGUUAAUGACCAAAAAAAGGUGAUGCUUGCUACGCAGAUGUGUAGUACAAAUUAAGAAGUGCAAGAUAAAAAGAUGCUGGUCCUUGAUUCGUUGUUGAUCCUCAGCAUGCCAUCAUCAACUUGUAGUUAAUUAUCAUACAAAUUGGCUCUUUCAUAGAGUUGGAGGCUAGCUCCUUUGAUCAGCACGCGCUUAAACACAAAGAACACGUAUAUGUAUUCUCUCCGGAGUUCAACUCUUGAUUGGCCAGCAAAAAUGGUCCGACCGGGUAGAGGAAAGGCAUGUUUGCUAGUACGCCUGGAGGAAAUGCCUUUGAUUAGGGCAUCUCCAACGGCGACCGGUAAAUUUUCUCCCACAUUCGUCCACGGACAGGGGAUCAGUCCGUGGAUACGGAUAUAGGAAUCGGCCAUCCAACGCUGUCCGCAUAUAUUUCGAACACUUCUUUAAAAAAAUCGGAUGAAAUUCAUGCAAACACAGUGGAUUCCAUACAAACCGGACAAAAACGUUUACAUUUUGGACAUAUUUUUAACUAAAAACUCUAUAGCCGGCGCUGGCGACGACGAAUAUCCUCCAGCGACAUGGAUACCCUUGAAUAGUCUACUGCCGGCUGCAGCGGAUCUCCAAUGUCGUCCCAUGUCCGGCAGCUGUGAGCCCUAGGUAUAUGCUUCAACGCAAAGAGCAGCUCGCCUCCCUACCACUCAUCGGAGUGGAACAACCAACUGUUGCUUCUGCCAGUGGGGAAGGGUUCCUACGUUACACAGGCCAGAGUUGGUUUUGGGUUGGGAACGGCGGUGGCCUGCCAGAGGGAAAGACACCGGUUGUGUACGCUGGUGUCACCUCGGUAUGGCAUUCAUGGGACCCAAGCGACAGCUUCUCCUCGACGAUGGUGGCGAGCGCAGACGUGUUGGACACCACCUCGUCGAUGUCCAUGCAGCCCACUUCUUUCUCUGUUGGCAGGACGCGGUGCCACACGUUUUGACAUCGAAUGACGCGCUCACAAUCACGGGAGGGGCGGUACGACAUGGCACCAUCAAUGGCAGCCAUGAUGCCCGUGCCACCGUGCUCCCUCUCAGUGCGACCUGGAGCAACUCGCCACUCCUUGGCUCGUGACCGGCGGGCUUGAUGGGCCCCCUAGCCAUUAUUUACGCCAGACAACUCUUUUUCCUUCUCAUCAGAUGCCAUGGAAAAAACUGUUCAAGGAGGAAAAUGAUGAGUGGAGAUGUGAUGCGGUUCUUGCUCGAAAUCUGACAUUGUUUAAAUAGCGAGGGGACACGAGGAGCCAACCGGCGUUCUGUUUAAUGUCAGCCGGCUCACGAACGGACAUGUGACUGGAGUAAUUAUCCUGGCACACGCGCGGGUUUAAUGGUGAAAGGCAGGCAGUCUGGAGGAAUGACGCAUGAUGUGUGUUUAGCCGGCGUGCAGCGGGGCGGUACCCUUGGCGUGCAUGGGGCGGUACUCGGAGGCAUGAAUGCGGGCAAAGGUGUUGUCAGAAGCGGUCGUAGGUGUUGUCUGGACGCGUGCAAAGCCCCCCUCCCCCAUGUGUUGUCUCCGGUUUGCGGGAGAAAGUACAUCCAGACUGCCCUGUGGACCGAUACAAGCCCGCAUUGGAUGGCACAACACGUCCGGACCAUGUGGUCCGGAUGGUUGUGGACGGUUUAAUUGAGAGUCUGCGUUGGAGAUGCCUUAGAGUUUAUGAAUCCAUUGAGUUUUUCUAAUCAUUAAAAAACACUUAUAAUAAGUUAUAAGAAAAGACACGUAUAUAUGUUAGUUUCAGACUCCAGCUUUGCUCUUACAUAUGCUUUUUUUCUGAUCCGACAGAUUCCAAUAGAGUGAGCCCAGCGUUGUUUUUCUGGAAACUCGAUACACGUUCUUUCAAGCAAAUCACAUCCAUUCUUUUUAACUCAUUUUUUCUCGUUUUAAUAAUAUAAUAAAUCAUUUGUAUUUUUUAUCUCGAACAGUUGACGUGUAAUUCCUAUUGUAAUCUAAGGAUAAUGUUUGGAUUUUACUUUCAAAUAUUUGAAAUGGCCAUGAUGGAAUCACAUCCAUUUAUUUUAUUACUAUUUGAAUUUGAUCCAAAAGAUAAAUAAUGAGUAGACGUCCUGAAAACUUUUCUGAGAACUUUGGUAAUCAAAAGACAAAAAAUGUUUUAAGAACUGAAGCAAACAACGAAUUUUACUCUCUAUUUUACUAAAGCAAGUGGCUGCUAUUUAGGUCUAGUAAAUAGCAAAUUGACCAACAACCUUUUUUCCAAAUUGGAAGGAAUGCAGUUCUCAGCUCUCACCAUGGUGAUUAUACAAUCUGGAUUUUUGAGCUGUAGCUAGUCAACUUAUGUUAGUGGCAUAUGUACCAUAGUGUUGGUCACUGGGAAUGGACGAAGCCAUGAGUGAAGGAACAGGAAAUGACAGAAGUACGAUUUGUAGAAUUUCAAAACUCAAACUAUCUAGUUUUAUGGAGUGAUAUGAAAUAAGCAAAACCAACUGCUAAUAAAAAUGUAAAAUUAAACGAUAUAUUUAGAAAUGUGAUUGUGAAGUCAUUGUCACAAAAUAUGACCUCACUAAAAAUGAACAUUCAACCUUAUUUUCAGAAGUUUGCAUACAAAUUCCAUGUAAAUUAUGGUAGUGCCCAUAAACAAAUAAACCAUAAUCGUGCUUGAUCUACCAUGAAACUUACUACCUUGUAUAUACUUUUGUCAUGUCCAGAGAUUUCCUGCACCAUGAACAAAAAUGCCACCGCAAUAAUAGUCGUUCUUUUGUGCACCGGGCGUCGAGGUAGCGUUGGCUGGCCAUCUGCAGCUCAUAGGCGCACGAGCACAGCGGUGGCAUGCCCACCACCGCCUCCAUUGCCCGCAAGGACGCCACCUAGCCACCGCCGUAUUUGGAGAAGAAGCAACAAGCAUGUAAGAGUUUGUCCUUGGACGCUCUAUGGAUCGACCUGAUCGAUCACUCGUUUUGUGCAUGCACCACCACACAUGGCUGAACCGAGCAUCCUCCUGGCGGCGCCCAGUGAGACCGUCCUCGCAGUGGCCACGGCUCGAUGGUUCGCCCCCGUGCGCACGGUACGUGCCGCAGCCUGUAGUCAAAUCAGAGCGCGUAGAGCACUAUCGGUGAGAUCGAAGGAGAGGAAUAUCAAAAUGGAAACUUAGCUAUAGGAGGUGAUGGCAAGGGGAGCUGGUGUGCCGGGAGGGAGACUCCAGGAGCUAGGGAGCACGCCGACGCCAUUGCUCAAGGUGCAAGUUUGUUUCAAUCUUCAAUCCUGCUCGCUGUUGAUUCUGGUUACAGUAAAUUUUAGCUAGAUAUGGUGUAACCUAAGUGUUAUGCCUAGUCUUAAUCUAUCUAUCUAUCCAAUCUUCUAUUCGGCGAGGUGGCUGCGCCUGUGGCAGAUGUGGCCGCUGCCAUGGCCGGCGCCAGACCUGGUCGAUCUCCCUCUUCUGUAUUUGAGAAAAAAAAAUCUGCCUCUUCUCUUCUGAUGAGAAGGGGAAGAGAUGGUGAGAGAUGAAGUCGACGGCUUUGGGGAAAGGAUACGGGAGGACGCCGGUAGUGAGGCGGCAUGAGGAAGACAAGGUGGUUGACAGCGGCGACGCGUGAGGGGAGGGCAAGGGAGGUGUAGUGGUGCAUGGAGAGGAGUGGGUGUGCAGCGUGCCCAGUUCACGAGGGAGGAAAGAGGUCGUCAAGGGAGUGAUCCAUGGGAGUUUUUUUCCUUCAGAGCGAGCCUAGUUGGGCUCUCUGCGGCGUCUAGGCCCAAUGCACCACAUGUCUUCAAAUUGGCCACCAGUAGCAGCCCAUAGAACAGACAGGGCCAGUUUGCAAAUUUUAAAAAAUAAGUUUUUUAGUGCCCAUGAAAAACAGAACACAUAUCUUUCCAAACAUAAUGAACUAUAGGUACCACCAAAAAAACCAUAAUGAACUUUAGGUUGUUACAAGAACUCAUGCCAUCCAACAGCCUCCCUCCAACCCUGCCAACAUUGUUGCAGCUGCACUCGCAAGCGUUACCAUAGGUGAUCAUUUGCAUGAUUUCGCGUAAAACAAAAUAAGAUCUACAAACGAAUAGAAGCUACACAUACCUUGGCAUGCACACACAUUGCAAGCCAUACUAAGGUGAUAAGUGUUAAUAACUUGUACAACAUAUACAACACUUAAGAUAAGUAAAAGCAAUUUGAUGAGUCAUGGUCUAUCAAAGCAAGAUGCAUUACUACUCUAAUCUAUCUUAACAGGUGACACAUGAUUACAAUCCUUGUUGUGUGCAAGUCAAGCUUAUCUAGUUUACACGUAACAACUUGUAGAACAUAACACAAUUGAUGUUUGCUAAUAACUUCUAGAAAGCUACAACACUUGACAUGUAAAAAGAAUUUGAUGAGUUAUGACCUACUAAAGCAAGUUACAUUACUAGUCUCAUCUAUCUUAACAGGUCACACAAGAUUAAAAACUAAGUUCUGCGCAAGCAAUGCUUAUCUAGUUUACACAUAACAACUUGCAAAACAUUACAAACUUAGUUUCAAAAAAUUAGGCAAUCUAGAUUAGUGUUUGAGUUGUAAAGUGAAUAAGAUGAGUCAUGUGUGUUAUCACAACUUUUUGGUAGUGGAAUGAUAGUGCCACAUAACACAACAUACCAAAUUAUGAUUUUAGGAAGCAUCCAAGCACUUUCCAGACAAAAAAAUGCCAAUUGUGAAGGAGAUGAUGCCAUGGCAGCUAUAAAUAGGCCUGUAGCAUGAUGAUCAUCCUUUCCCAUCCAUCAUUCUCAUAAGUAGAGUGCAUCGUUCAAGCCAAGCAAGCAGUGGUCAAUACAAAUCCACCAUGAAGACCUUUCUCAUCCUUGCCCUCCUUGCUAUCAUGGCAAUUGAGGGAGUCCUAGAUAAGGGGUAUCCGGACAGCCGGACUAUAUUCAUCGUCCGGACUAUAGAAGCGUCAAGACACAAGACUCAAGACUUCGGCUCUUGUCCGGAUGGGACUCUCAUUUGCGUGGAAGACAAGCUUGGAGAUCCGGAUAUUAUGUUUCCUUCCUUGUAACCGAGUCCAUGUAAACCCUAGCUCUCCGGUGUCUAUAUAAACCGGAGAGCAUGGUCCUUACAAGGCCGACCACAAUUACAAUCAUACCAUCAUAGGCUAGCUCUUAGGGUUUAGCCUCUACGAUCUCGUGGUAGAUCUACUCUUGUAUUCCACAUAUCUUCAAUAUCAAUCAAGCAGGAAGUAGGGUUUUACCUCCAUCGAGAGGGCCCAAACCUGGGUAAACAUUGUGUCCCCUGCUUCCUGUUACCAUCAGCCUAAGACGCACAGAUUGGGACCCCCUACCCGAGAUCCGCCGGUUUUGACACCGACAUUGGUGCUUCCAUUGAGAGUUCCUCUGUCUCGUCGCUUCGAGGCUUGAUGGCGUCUUCAAUCGUCAACAACACGGUCCAGGGUGAGACUUUUCUCCCCGGACAGAUCUUUGUGUUCGGCGGCUUCGCACUGCGGGCCAAUUCACUUGGCCAGUUGGAGCUGAUCGACAGCCUCGCCCCUGGCCACCAGAUCAGGUUUGGAAACUUGAACUACACGACAGAUAUCCGCGGAUACUUGAUCUUCGACGGAUUCGGGCCUGCGCCAGGAGUGCCGGGUAGCCACGACGAGCACGACCUAGACCUGCUGUCGGAUAGUGCCCGGGAUAUUAUCCCCGAAGCAGCCUUGGAUCUAAAUCCAGGACAGGUUGCGGUGCCUAUGGACGGAGGGCUGGACCCCGCUCCGCAGGCCGCACGCUUAUCGGCGGUGGAGCCGAACACUGGUCCCCCCUAUAACCCCGGACUCCCGGACUCAUAUCCAGCUGUUGGUCCUGGUCCGCUCACUCUCGAGCCAGCCGAGCCAGGUCAGGUUCCGGUAAUGGAGUUUACCGCUGCGGACAUCUUUCAGCACUCGCCCAUUGGCGACAUGCUAAGCUCAUUGAAGUCUCUCUCUUGGUCAGGAGACUCUGGGCCGAACUAUGUCCGAUGCGAGUGGGAAGCAGGCGAUGAAGGAAUUCGGCGCCCACCCACCACCCACUUCAUUGUCACAAUCAAAGAAUUAGGCGACGUGCUCGACUCCGGAGACAUCGAUGGUAUGGAUGACGAUGCAGGAGAGGCUCCAGAACCCCUGGAGCGCGGGACUACUACCUUGUCACACGACAUAUACAUGGUAGAUACGCCCAAUAAGGACGGCAACCCGGAUGAUAAAACACCCGGGCAAAAGCCAAAGAGGCGGCGCAGACGCCGCUCAAAGUCCAGCAAUGGCAAAAAUAGUGACAGGAGCGCAAGAAGGGUUGAUAUACCCGCAAACUCUGAAAGCAAUAAUGACCACAUGGACCCAACGAUGGAGCAGGACGAGCCAUGUCACGCCAAAUCAAGUUCGGAGAAAAUACCCGAUCACAACGAUCCGGAGGGACGAGCUCAUGAUGCCGCCCGAGAACAGGAAGACAAUCUGGACAACGAUGCAUUCAUCAUCCCGGACGAACAAGUGGAACGAGACAACCUCCACAGAAAGCUUAUGGUCACCACAAGAAGUCUAGAAAAGCAGAAGCAACGGCUCAAGGCUGCACAGGAAAAGCUAAGUCGCAGAUGGAACAGGGUGCUAGACACCGAAGAAAGAUAUGGCGAUGACCGCCAUACGAAAAGCUAUCCGAAGCGCAAGCUGCUGCCAGAAUUCGAUGACGCGGCCGUUCCGCCAAAAGAAAAUUCGACCAAGAAACCAGACGUACCGCCUCACAACCAUAACAGAGCGGCCGCAGACACUGCGCACGAUCCACGCGGGCAUCCGGAUAAAAAGACCGGUGCAGCCAGGUCCAUAUAUGGAUCUAGAAGACACACCCCAGCGCAGAACUAUGGUCACCCAAACGUUCAUAAAAGCUAGAUACCAGUUCGGAAUCAACCCCGGACACAACAACAGCUGACUACAUGCCACAAUGCGUCCAGAUACAGAGGGGCUGCUCACCACCUGUGCUUCACCGAAGAAGUACUGGACCAUGAAUUCCCACAAGGCUUUAAACCUGUGAACAUAGAAGCAUACGCCGGCACGACAGACCCAGGGGUCUGGAUCGAGGAUUUUAUCCUGCAUAUUCACAUGUCUCAAGGGGAUGACCUCCACGCCAUCAAAUACCAUCCCCUCAACUUGAAGGGACCAGCUAGACACUGGUUGAAAAGCCUCCCCGAAAACUCAAUUGGGAGUUGGGAGGUGAAAGGAUCGAUAUAGUUGACUAGAGGGGGGGGGGUGAAUAGGAAACUAACAAUUUUUAAGCUUUUCUUUACCAAUUUAAACUUUGCAUCAAAAUAGGCUGUCUAGAUAUGCAACUAUGUGAGCAACCUAUAUGAUGCAAUAACAACUAGCACAUAAGAAAGCAAUGGACACAACACAAUUAAGCUUGCAAAAGUAAAGGCACGAAAUAACCAAGAGUGGAGCCGGUGGAGACGAGGAUGUGUUACCGUAGUUCCUUCCUUUUAAGGGGAAGUACGUCUCCGUUAGAGCAGUGUGGAGGCACAAUGCUCCCCAAGAAGCCACUAGGGCCACCGUAAUCUCCUCACGCCCUCACACAAUGCGAGAUGCCGUGAUUCCACUAUUGGUGCCCUUGAAGGCGGCGACCGAACCUUUACAAACAAGGUUUGGGCAAUCUCCACAACUUAAUUGGAGGCUCCCAAUGACAGCACGAAGCUUCACCACAAUGGACUAUGGCUCCGAGGUGACCUCAACCGUCUAGGGUGCUGAAACACCCAAGGGUAACAAGAUCCGCUGGGGAUUAGUGGGGGGAAUCAAAUAUCUCUUGGUGGAAGUGUAGAUCGUGGCCUUGUCACCCAAUCCCAAGCAAAUCAACAAGUUUGAUUGGCUAGGGAGAGAGAUCGGCCGAAAAUGGAGCUUGCAGCAACAAUGGAGCUUAGGGAUGGAAGAGGUGGUCAACUAGAGGUAGGAGACACACCUUUUAUAGUGGAGGACAACAUCCAACCGUUAUCCACUUAGACCAGCCUGCGACAUGCGGUACUACUGCUCCAGGAGCGCGGUACUACCGCAAGGCCACACGGUACUACCGUGGGAGACCACGGUACUACCGCGACAGCUGCAGAGACUAUAACACAAGCAGUACUACCGCGAGCGCGGUACUACCGCUCCCACCUGCGGUACUACCGCGAGGCAGGUAAGUCCUAGUAUGGAAACGGCACGGAUGAAUAAAAAUAGACGAUGCAAACAUCCGUCACGGUACUACCGUGCACAAGGCGCAGUACUACCUUGUGUGUGCAGAUGUAAAAAAUUACAUCCGCCCCUACUACCAUGAAGCAACGACACUAGGCCAGGGAACCACGGUACUACAGUUCGAGGGGAACGGUACUACCGUGGGAACCCACGGUACUACCGCCCUCAACGUGUGGUACUACCGUGUGGGCGCGGAUGUAAAAAAUUACAUCCGCGCCUACUACCGCGAGGCAGUGAUAAUUGGCCAGGGAGCCACGGUACUAUGACUCCGAAGGAGCAGUACUACCGUGGGCUCCCGCGAUACUACCGCACAUGGGCACAGUACUACCGCAAGUGCUUGCGGUACUACCGCUCCAGGGAGCAGUACUACCGCAAACUCAGCAACAGUAGUCCAGACACUCACAUAGAGGAUAGAUGGGGAAUGCUCCAAAGUGCAAGGGAAAGGAGGAGACAAGGAAGGAAACGUGUACGUGAUGAUUCCACCCGAACCUUUUGGACGCGGACCCCCUCUUAAUAGUACGGCUCUCCUACGACUCAAAUCCACCAAAAAGAAAUGUAGAAAUACGCCGUCUUCAAUAGUCUUCGAGGGGCACCGAACCGUCUUAUGCCUAGCGAUGAAGCAACUGAGAAACUCAAGGCACACGAUUAGUCCGCUAAAGCAUUGUCAUCAAUCACCAAAACACUUAGGGAUAAAAAUGCCCUUACAAUAUCCCCCUUUUUGGUGGAUUGAUGACAAUACGGGAUUUUCACAAGGGAAAAAAUAAUGAGCAUAGGCAAAACCCUCCUCUCUAAAAUGUAGACGGGCUCCCCCUAGACGUGUGCAAUCUAGAUGGAUGCUUUGGACUACACAGCACACUAGCUAGGAUUAACACUCCCAUUAUAUUUUAGAGACAAAGCAUGUAAGACUAACAAUCUAAGUAAAUGCAUAAACAAAGGUAGCACAAUAUAACACUAGCUCACUAAGAUAGGUAGAGUGCAUAUGUCUUACACCAUAUGAGGGACACACUAAACCAAAUCAACCGAAAUAACCGAAACGAGGUUCAAAUGAGACACGCAAACACACGAAACACGACACACGACUCACAAAUCCCUACACUCUCUCCCCCUUUGGCAUCGAGACGCCAAAAAGGCAGAGAGGACACCUACACACAAGUGGUGGCUCAAGCAGAGAAAUCAUUCCAACGAUCCUCGUCAGACCCGGCAGCAGGAAUGGUCUCCUCGACGUCCUCCUUAGAAUCAGUCCACUUGUAGCCUUGUUUCUCCAUCCACUCAACCUGUGGAGUAAUGUGAUCCUCAGACCCACCAGACACGUCCUCUCCAUACAGCUUCAGAAUCUUCUUGUCGCGGCGAAGACUCUCCUUGGAUGCCACGUGAGUCCUGUACUACCCCUUAGCUUGUAUGCAGAAAAGAGUCUUCAUCUUGUCCUUCAGCUUCUUGGCCCACAAGGGCAUAGAGGAACUAUGGGAAGACCCAGCAGCACGGUCAGCAGCAACAUCCUCUCCUUCAGCCUCAUCCUCAUCAACAACCCUCUUAGCAGCAGUCGCCUCGGCACGAGUAGUAGUGUUGGCCCAUUUGGACUUGACACGGAGACUGAUGGGAUCAUGCCGAAUCCAGUCAGGAGCAAGGAACUCAUCACCAGGGUACUGCUUCGCCCAAGUCUUGGAGAUCAAUAGAAACAUGUAUGGUCCAUAGAUAGGCACCUUGCGGUUGAACACCGCAAACCGAAGCUCACACCACAUGAUGUGUGAGACAUCAAGUGGCUGAGUCUGAGAUACGCGAGCCUCCUCGCACAGGAGCAUCAUAUCCACCAUAUAGGCAUGAACCUUGUCCUUGUCACCAAUGCGAGGGAACAGAGAGUUGCGGAAGAUGCGAUACAUGAUAUCCAGAAAAGAGUUGAGCAUCCACGUCGACUUGCUAUUGGCAAGCACCUUCUCAACAUAGAACGGCUGAAGCUUGUCCUUGUUCGCAGACUCAGAAUUGGCAUGGGGGCGAACACCCACUGGUGAGUUGAGCCCGUCAUCAGGAACCUGGAGCAGAUCCAUGAACUCCUUCCAGGUAGCAGUCAACUAACGACCAUUGGUCAUCCAGGUCAUCCUCCGCUCCUCCCCAGGGUGAAAGAACACUGAGGCAAAGAACUGACAAAUAAGCUCAGGGUCAUAGUCAAGAUGGAAAUAGAUCACAUGCUCAAUAUCAAACUGCUCCACCAAAUCCAGAGCUUCUCCAAAGUACUCAUGAUACAUAUCCUUCCUCAGGUGAUGCAUGUCUAUCCACUUGACAUCCACAUAGGUAUUUUGCUUGUUCUUGAUGACAUCCAGAUAGGUGAGAGUCUUCUGCUUGUUCCAAAACAACUCACAGCCUCUAACGGUAGCACGAGGAAUCACAUACGGGUUGAGCUGCCUGAGACGGAUGUACUCAGAUUGGGGUAUCUCGUCCAUGCCCUUAGCGGGUUCCUUGUGCUUGCUAGCGGUGGCCUUGACAUGGCGCUUGGGGGCAGAGGAGGAGCCCUCUGGUGCAUCACUUGGAUUGCGCAGACGCUUGGAGCCAGUGUCACGACUGGGAUUGGAACGACGAGAGCCACCACCUGAGACACAAAAUGCAAAACACCCACGACAGGCAAAAAGGAUCAAUGCAAAGACCACGGCAAAGCACAAGAACCACAUAGGAAGUAUACGUGAAAGUUUCCAUGAGAUAGAUGGGAUCCACGGUAGUACUGCCGGAUGCGGUGGUACUAAAAUUUUAGUACCGCUCCAAGUCGCAGUAGUACCGGGGUGGGAGCGGUAGUAAAAUUUUAGUGUCGUAGCGUGCACGGUAGUACCGCGCCUGACGGGCGGUAGUACCAGACAAGCGGUAGUACCGCAUAGGUGGCGCGGUAGUACUGCACCGCGUCAGAUCCAAACCAAAGUUUGAAUCUGAGAAGAACCGCGAAACCACGGCGGUACUACGAUUGAUCAAAUCUAGCACAGGACAAAAAGACAAGUAUAAUCCCUACGCGAUACUACUCUCCUACAACCUACGCUUGCAUAGAUUUAGCCUAAAAUCUCAAGAACACACAAGUCUUCCCCACAAACCUAGAGGCAAAGAAAACAACAAAAGCGAGAGGGAGUUGGGAAAAGACCCUUUCCCAUGGCAAGAGCAUGUGGUGGGGAAUGAUCCCACCGGACGGAAUCGCAGGAGAGCAGCCGGAGGCGGAGAUCCGGCGAAGGACCCUGGCCCCGUUCUUGAGCGAGGGAGAGAGAGACGAAGUGGGAAACUGAUGAAUGGGUAUGGGGGAGUUGGAACUCCCCCUCCCCAUCCUUAUCCCCACGCGUCAAAGAUGUCGCGGUAGUACCGCACAUCAUCACGGUAGUACCGCUUGGGUGGAACUACCGCACCGAAGCGGUAGUACCGCUCUCCCAGGCGGUAGUAAAAAAUUACUGCCGCGUGGGGGCGGUAGUACCGAGCUCUCCAUACGCGUAGUACCGUAGCAUGCUGCGGUAGUACCAUGAGCUCAAGAAAAAGCAGGUUUCAACACAAAAGAGGUCUUUGCAAGGAAACUUUUAGCACAAGAGACACCACAAGAACACGCACAACCCAAAGGCAGAAAGACAACAAGAAGCAACCACGCAACACACCCUCUCAAAAAGAGAGGGCGGUGGCCGGAGCCACCUAUGUUUGAGUCAGUUUGUAUGGCACCGCGAAGAAUUAUCCUUGGGCCCAUAAUCGAAACUCAUCUUUGAAGCACAAGUACCAUAAAAAAUGGUUAAUGUGACAGACUUGAUCGAUUUAUGCAUAAUGGGGGAGGGAGGGUUCAUUGAGAGAACGGUAGUCCCCCUAUGUCCAUGCCCGCACCUAAACUAGACAACAAGUUGAGUGAGAUGGGGUGUGCACGGGCUCAAGUCACAUUGAUCAAACCAAUGAUAUUUAGCUCAUGCCUUAACUCGCGAAAUCGUGCUUCAUCGAAGGGCUUCGUGAAAAUAUCUGCAAGGUUAUCAUGAGUGUUGACAUACUUGAGCUUGAUCUCCCCUCGCCUAAUGUGAUCCCGAAUGAAGUGAUACCGAAUCUCAAUAUGCUUCGUCUUGAAAUGUUGCACCGGGUUGAGAGAAAUCUUGAUGGCACUUUCAUUGUCACACCAAAGAGGCACUUUGUCACAAAUGACACCAUAUUCCUUUAAAGUUUGUCUCAUCCAUAGGAGUUGUGCACAACAACUACCGGCCGCCACAUAUUCCGCUUCGGUGGACGAGAGAGACACACAACUUUGCUUCUUGGAAGACCAACUCACCAAAGAGCAACCAAGAAAUUGGCACCCUCCGGAAGUGGACUUCCUAUCCACCUUGUCUCCCUCCCAAUCGGAAUCCAUAAAUCCUUCAAGCUUGAAGUUAGCUCCUCUUGGGUACCAUAGGCCAAAGUUUGGGGUAUGAGCCAAAUAUCGAAAGAUUCGCUUGACCGCCACAAAGUGGCUUUCCUUUGGUACGGCUUGAAACCAUGCACGCAUUCCCACACUCAACAUGAUAUCUGGUCUAGAUGCACAAAGGUAAAGCAAGGAUCCAAUCAUAGAGUGAUAUACCUUUUGAUCCACCGCUUUACCAUUGGGAUCAAUGUCAAGUUGGCACUUGGUGGGCAUUAGAGUAGAGGCCGGAUUGACAUCACUUAGCUUGAAUCUCUUAAGCAUGUCUUGAGUGUAUUUGGCUUGGUUGAUGAAGGUACCUUCUCUUCU
rnacentral:lncRNA from 1 species